UAAUUUGUCUGGGCCUGUACCAAGAUCCAUUGGGCACCUCGUUCAACUUACUCACUUGGGCCUCUCUCAAAAUAAUCUCAAUGGCCCAGUUCCAACAUUUUUUACAGACGUUACAGACUUAAGAUAUAUCUCCCUUGCGCGUAACAAUUUCACUGGAUCUCUACCUCGUUGGUUGUUUCACCAUCCAUCGUUAGAGACCUUGUAUCUGCAUAGUAAUGCAUUCACGGGUCCACUACAUGAAUUUGAUUCUUCUCGAUCACGGCUGCAAUCUUUUUCUUGUUCCAGCAAUUUACUCAAUGGAUCCAUUCCACAUUCAUUUUCUCAACUUGUCAAUCUCACUAAACUAGAUUUGUCAUCAAACAAUUUCAGCGGGGUUUUGGAUUUGGAAAUGUUUUCAGACCUCGAAUCUCUAGAACGUCUUAGACUUUCUCGUAACAGUCUUUCAGUGACAAGUACAAGUAUGGCCACUCUCCCUCCUACGCUUAACUACUUGGACUUGUCAUCUUGUAACAUGAAAGAGUUUCCUCAUUUUUCAAGAGAUGCAAACAUCUCCCUGGUGUUUGUAGACCUAUCAAACAAUAAAAUUGAAGGGGAAAUUCCACACUGGAUUGGGUUGCUGGGGAUGUCCUAUCUGAAUCUUUCUCACAACAAACUAAUAGGCGGUCUUGAGCAACUGCCUUGGAGUCAUAUUGAAUAUCUUGAUCUCCAAUACAAUAAGCUGAAUGGAUCGUUGCCCACCUUGAUGUGUAAUUCCAGCUCUCUUUAUAUUCUAAAUCUGUCUCACAACAAGUUGAGUGGUGUACUACCCAUUUGUCAUACAAAUUUGACUUGGCUUUCCGUGUUGGAUCUGCGGAGGAAUAAAAUUCAAGGAAACAUUCCAGCAACCCUGUCAAAUUUCCAUAAUCUGGAAACCAUUAAUUUGAAUGGAAACCAAUUAGAAGGAAGCAUUCCUUCUUCUUUUGCUGGAUUUGAUUCUUUAGCCGUUCUUGAUCUUGGAAAUAAUCAGAUAAAUGAUACAUUCCCCCAGUGUUUGGAAGCUCUUCCAAAUCUUCAAGUUCUUGUUCUCAAAUCAAAUAAGUUUUAUGGUCUUAUAAACACGAGUUCUCAGGUUGUACACCCAUUUCCUAGCUUGAGAAUCAUUGAUCUUUCGUACAACAAGUUUUCAGGUGCACUGCCAGAAAAAUAUUUCAGAAACUUCAAGGCUAUGAUGAAUGGUGAAGUGAAUAAGGUAAAUCGUAGUUAUAUGGAGCAGGAUCUUUACAGUGAUUCCACAGCUCUAGUGAUUAAAGGCAUGGAGAUUGAUUUAGAAAGAAUUUUGACUGUGUUCACAACUAUUGAUGUAUCAAAGAACAAUUUUGAUGGGGAGAUAGCUGAAUACUUUGGAAAUCUUGUAUCACUCAGAUUUCUUAAUCUUUCUCACAAUUAUCUCACAGGCCACAUACCACGCUCGAUUGGAAAAUUGACUGUGCUGGAGUCACUAGACCUCUCAUCCAACCAACUUCAAGGAGAAAUUCCUCCGCAGCUCACUAGUGUAUAUUCACUUGCAGUUCUCAAUCUGUCUUGCAACCAACUUAGAGGACGUAUUCCAGAAGGGUCGCAAUUCAAUACAUUUGAAAUCUACAGCUACGUCGGGAACUUUGGGCUGUGCGGAAAACCCUUGUCAAAAAAGUGUGAAAAUUAUGUCAGGGCACAAGAAGAAGACGAAGAAGAUGAGGAUGAUGAUUACUUUUUCAGUGGAUUUACUUGGGAAGCGGUGGUGAUUGGAUAUGGGUGUGGAGUGGUGCCUGCAUUUAUCACUGGCUACCUGAUGUUGUUGGCACGGAAACCAAAAUGGUUUGCUGGAAUCAUUGGCAGGGAACUGGGCCUGAAGAUCAGGAGGAUGGAGAUUAGAAGGCGAUAACUAAAGGUUUGCUGUAAUCUAUAUCCCAAUCUGUAGGUCUUGAAUAUUCAGUAAUAAUAUAUAUAGUAAUAUCUGCUAUCAUAUAAUUCUAUAUUUGCAGAUUGGAGAGGCAUGAACAUUUUGGCAUGCAAGUUGAUGGGACAAGCAGGAUUCAGAUGCACUGGAAUCAACCACUACUUCAGCUGUUUAAUUUGCAUCUUUUCUAAGUUACUCUGCACAUAUUCUAAGUUCCAUAUACAAGUUCUGUAAUGUUUAGUUAUUCUGCACAAACUCUAAGUUAGUUUCAACCACUGGGGUGUAAGCAGCCAAGUUAAUAAACCAGCAGUUUCUGCAGCUUUCACAACGUUGCUUCAUAUUAUUUUCCCCCUUAUUAGAUGAGCAAUAUAUUUGUGGAAUGGAUGUACCUGAAUUUGGUAUCCGAAGCUUAGUUAUAGAAAUUGUAGAUCAGCUAGUUUGCAACUUAGUGAGAAUGCUUUCCAUUGGACUUGAUUUACUCGUAGAGAAGCAGCACGCAAUGUUAAGGAAGGCCUGAUACAUAAUGUAUUCGAGGAAGUUUUGGAUUUCUUUUUAUUGAGAGUUUUUGCAAAACGUGGUUAAGAAAUUUGAGUUUUAAAAUUAGCUGUAAAAAGUAAUAGGUCAAUUGUAUUAGAUAUUUCAUGCAUUUGAGUUUUAAAAUUAGCUGUAAAAAAUAAUGGGUCAACGGCAACAGAAAUGAAUUGGUUUGGUUUCACCCGUAAGAGUUCUGCACUUCACACUCUAAAUUCCAGAAUUAAUAAAUUCAAGUCAUCUUUUAUGUCUUAGAGCAUCUCCAACCAUACAAAUUUCUUAACUAAAAAAUGAGGCAUUACAAAUAUAGAAAAUUAGUCAACUUGUUGAAAAAAUCAUAAAACCUGUAGUCUAUAAUUUUAGCCAACCUCUUACUAUAUUUGUCGAAUCUUUACAGAUCUACAAAUUUCUUACACGUUAUUUAUUACCAUAUUAAACUGAUAUAUUCUAUUUUAACAAACUAAAAUAUCAUUGAAGUACAAUGUCUUACAACUUCUGUAUAUAAUGUCUUACAAGUUCAAUUUAACCAACGAUUAUAGCCUACGAUGUUGCAAUGCUCUUAAGCCACUCUUUAUUAUUUUUGAUUCCAUAAUAAAUAAGUUUAAACUUUAAACUUUUUAUAUUUAAUAAAUUUAUAUAAUUAAUAAUAAUUUAAUUAUUAUUUUUUUAUUUGUAUUAAGUUUAAUUUAUAGAUACCUUUAUAUCAAAAAUACUAAAAUCAAUCAAAAUUUUAAUAUUUUGAUUCAGUAACUGGAAUAUAAAUAUAUCUAACUUUUGAAAUGAUAAAUAAAUAGUUUAUGAUUAAUAAAAAACUAGUAAGUAACUUGCACGAUUUCUCUUAUUUACAGUAAUAAAUCUCUUAUUAGCACUUUCAACUAAAUAUUUCUCCCAAACACUUAUAAUUUAUGUCCAAUUUUCAUAUUAUUUCCUUUAGAAAGACUGUUGUAUUAUUUUUAAUUUUAGUAAUUAGAUUAUUUUUAUAUAUAUAAAUUCCAAAUUUAAAAAACUUAAUAUUUUUGUCACGCUGCUUCUUAUAAUUUGUAAUACAAAUUAUUUCUAGAUAAAAUUAAUAUAUUAAUAAAAAUAGUGUAAACUCCAUAUAAUACAUUGAAAUUAAAUAAAUAUGCUCUGUACUUUUUUUUCACAUGCAAAAAACUGCACUGUUUCGGUUUAAGCAAAGCGUGAUAAUCAGGACUCCUAGCUGGAAUGGCGAGUAUUAUUCCUACGAAGAAGAUGAUGUUCAUGAUAUCCCUUCACCCCCAAAGACAAAGAAUUGGAGCAUGAAUUCUGAUUACUGCAUGUGGGAUGGAGUUAGCUGCGACGAGAAUACAGGGGACCUAAGGGGACUGGAUUUAAGCUGCAGUCAUCUGGUGCAUUGGAAUGAAAUUAUAGAACUUCUUCAGAGCCUGAUGCUCUCGAGGAUGCACUAAUGAACAAGCCUAAUGAUGAUCAUGAGUCAUAACUCCGUCCUAGAAUAAAGUAUCAUGAAACAUAUUUAGUAUUACAUUUUGUAUUAUUGGAAACUUGAUUUGAAACCGAAAUAGUUUGGUGGAAUCAUUGCCAGGGUAUUGGGUCCGAAGAUCGAGGAUGGAGAAUAAAUUGAUUUUGUUCAAAUAUUUAACACAACCCCAUCAUCAUUAUCCAUCACAAGCCCGGUCCAGUGUAGAGUUCUGGCAACUCCAUUUCUUGACACUUCUGUUGAAGUUGGCCUGUCUGGCAGACAAGAGGCCCUGUUUUAGAGGUGAUAUAUGCGCACAGGUCAAAAAUAUACUCCCUCCGUCCCACCAGAUUCUUUACAGUUUCCUUAUUUGGUCGUCCCACCCAUUUCUUUACAUUACAAAACUUUCUUAAAAUAGUUAAUGGGUCCCAACACUUUUCCACUUUUUCUCCCUUUUCACACUACUUUUACUCCACUAUCUCUUUAUUAUAUAUUAAAAAUCAGUGGGUCCCACCACUUCACCCACUUUUCUUUCUUUUUCCCACUACUUUAUACAUAUUUCUUAACCUCCGUGUCCAAACCCAAUGUAAAGAAUUGGGUGGGACGGAGGGAGUAUAUUUCUUCCAAUAGAUUACAUCUCUUUUCUUCAAAAUUUAUUGUAGUUUCAAAAUGUAGCAUUUGAGAACUCAUUCUCUUCACUUCUUAAAUACUUGGUCUUGGUCAAUACAAACACGAUUAAGACCGGUGUCAAUAUCACUCAUUAUUUUUCCACUCCUUUGAAUGGCAUUCUACAAUCCACAUAUCAGUACUCAGACUUUCACCAGUGAACCAUUAAUGCAUAGAUAAUUGAAGAAAGAAACUUCAACAUAUUUGCAUAUCUUUAUCCAUCUUUUUUUUCUAGUCAUCAACAGGCACAAGCUGUUAAUUUUUAUAUGUUCUUAAUUGGUAUAAGCAUUUAAGGUGCGUGUUGAUAUUUCUCACUAAUCUUCUUCUGCUCUAAGUGACAUAUUAUUACAAUCCACAAAUUAGUAGACAGACUAAUAUGGUUAGUUGAGACCAUCAAUCUGGAGAACAGACUAAUACAUGUGUAGUAAUCUGAUCAUCAUUUAUUUGAUUACAAUAGAAAUUCGGCUUUGUUUAGUUCCAUCCUCGGGCUCUUCAUUUCUAAACAUAUUUGCUGAUACUUUUUAUUGUACAAUUUAGAAUAUUCCAUAAAAUUUUAAAUUCGGUGCUAGAUGAUUUUAUGUCCUGUUUUCAUUCCAUUCAUGAACUAAUGAAAAUUUUGAAAUUGGGUCAUAUUAGGCAGUGAUGCCACCUUUCUGGACCUGCAUUUCAUGGCCACAAACUCCUAUUGUGCCAAAAAAUUCCAGCUGUUUGGUGAGAUUUUUCUACGUGCUCUUUUGUUCGGACUUGUUUGCUGAAUCCCACAAUAGACAAUAUUGAUGUUAACAACUCUUGCGUCAGUUACUAGACUUGUCAGUAGCCCAUUCUUUACGGCAGACGUGGAAUUUACUUGAAGAAAUGAAGGUGUAAGAAAGUUGAGAACAUUUUGUUGAUUAUUUCCUUCCCCAGAAACUGCACUCCAGCAUCAAAGUACCUUUCAAAGACUCCAGCAUCAUUUCUUGAUUAUCAAAGUCUUCGUCUUUGUCAUCUCCUGCUCUGAAAGUGCUUCUAUUGCAGACCACAUAUUAGUAGACAGACUACUAAAAUUCAUCUAAAAUGACCUCUCUGCGUGGGCUCUUUUGAACAAUCAGGGUUGGACAUGAUUCUACACGCAUCAGAGAAAAACUAUCAGCUGGCUAAAAACCUCUCUGCAUCAACUCUAUUGAGAAAAGAAACUAUGGCUCAUACAGUUUAAGUUGAUACCAAAUCGUAAAUGAGAAUACUUGCAGUUUUAAAUUACUGCACGCUAUUUUUUCAACGAAAAUAUGUGCAGUUUUAACAUAGUCUAAUUAUUUUCUUGAUGACGGCUCUGCAAAUUGUGAUAGUUGAAAAUCUUUUUAUCGUCUUUGACAAGCAUCAAGGAAAUGCAGGAAGGUUAUUUAUCAGCUGAUUAAUCUCUUUCUUUGUCUCUGAAAAUCCUUACAUUAGAUCUGUUGAGAGUCUUUACUGGGGAUAAUCUUCUGUCACUGGAUCUGUUGAGGUAACUUUGGGACAAAGUACUGUCUCUAUUACAUGGAAGUUUGAACUGUUUCAUAUUUUUUAGACAACUAAAUGCACUUACAAACUCGACUUGUGUUUGAAAAGGUUCAGACACUCGAACCUUGAAAAGAACGAGAGAGAUAUUAUUGGAUCAAGAGAUCUUUAGUCAGGUCUAGUGCUUUCUUAAAUUAAUUUCCUAAAGUUUCAGUUAAGAUGUGAACCAAAGCUCUUGGUGGUGGUUCUCAUUGCUCUCUUUGUUCCAAAUUAAACUUAAAAAUUGUUGUGUGAUCCCAAGUUGCGGGUUUACUGAUGAGAAUAAUAAAUAUUCAACUGAUGAUACCGAAGCAGCAGCAUACUGCAAUUUCUUGUAAUAAUCAAAAGUGCGAGUACUUAUAAAGAAACUUAUACCUAUAAAGCUGUAGAAACCAAUGGUAAGCAUAACUGCAUAUAAGAUACAAAACUAAAUUUAAUACAAGACUUGUUCUAAGCAUUGGAAAAUAUAAUUCAUCCUGGUCUUCAUCUUCUACUGCUCCAAAUAUGCUUUUAUUGCAGCCAAUGUAUUAGUGAAAAGAAUUAAAUUUAAAUUAAUUGUAGACCGCAAAUAUAAGAUUAUGAGAGUUUCUACAACCCACAAAUUAGUAGACAGACUAAUAUGGUUAGUUGAGACCAUCAAUCCGGAGAAACUGUUUCUAAAAUGACCCAUCUGUAUGAAUUAAUGAAGAAAGAAACUUAUACCUACAAUGUAAAGGAAAUGGUCACGAGUAUAUUGCAUUUUUAAUCCAAAUUGUAUAUGAUUCUAUCUGUGCUACUGAUAGUAAAUAAUAAAUCUACCACGGGCCUUGUAGUUAAUCAAGGUAUUUAACUCUACCUUUCUACAUUGUUGAAUAGUUUGAAUAAAAUAAUUGUAAUAAAAUUUUUUCUGGUGCUGUGUGAGUUUAUCAAAGCUAAUCUCGGUGAGAAAUUAACUAAAGCCCUUGGAAUUAGUAAAUAAAAACUCUGGGGAGUGAAAUUAAAAGUCUGAGUACAAGGCAAUGAGCAGGAAACAGCAUAAGGAGUUUACAACUUGAAGUUUCUAUUCUCCUCCGGUCUUUUUGUGAAAAUCAAGUGGCCAUUGAUACAGUUAAAAAUGGCAGGACUACACAUAAUAAAUCACACAGUCGCUUUAUGAGAGAGGAAAAAUGUCAGGACUGCAAUGCAUUUCUAGCCCAUUUUGUACAGCAGCUCAAACGUUUAAAAAACUUCAUUAAUUAUUUUCUUUUAUUGAAACCCACACUCAUCCAUCAAAGUAGCUCUCAAAGACUAAUUUCCAUCACCUUUUGAUUCUCAAAGUCUUCUUCUUCGUCUUCUACUGCUCCAAAAGUUCUUACAUUGCACGCCACAUAUUAGUAGACAUAUACUUGAUCUUGAUGUACAAUGUUAUGUUAUGAUGCUAAUAACCCUCUGCAGGGGUUAUUAAAGAAAGCAACUUAUAGUUUAAGUUGCUGAACAUUUGUGUGUGCCAAAUUUAAUUUCACACAUCAUUACUAGAUUUACACAUGGUAUUAGACAUCAGUACUAGUAUAAGAUGUUAAUCAAGUUUUUGAAUUUCUUUUAUUUCAGAUAACAAGUUUAAUUUUUUUUUUGUGGAAUUAAUUAUUUAUAUCACGCAUUUGAGCUUUAAAAUUAGCUCUAAAUAAAAGUUGAUUUUCGCUCAAAGAAACAAUGAUGUAUAAGAAGAUUUUCAGAACUGAAUUAUUUCUUUCAUUUUUACAAGUUCCAUUCAAGAACCGAAAGUAGCUCACAAAGACUCACUACAUCAUCUUUCAAUUCUCAUAGUCUUGGUCUUUGUCUUCUGCUGCUCAAAAAUUCUAUUACAGCCCACAUAUCAGUAUCAUAAACCUAAUUAUGAAUAGUAUUUAACACUAAACACAAUUGAAGAUUUGUCUCACAGACUUACUUCCAUCACCUUAUGGUUCUCAAAGUCUUCGUCUUCUAAUGCUCCAAAAGUUCUAUUAGUGCAGGCCACAUAUUAGUAAACAGACUACAAUUCAUCCAAAAUGACCCCUCGUAUUGGACACUUUGAACACCUCUGUCUGUAUAUGCAUUGGAGAAGAAUUAUCAGCUAGUUAAAAUAAGGGAAAUUCUUCAUGGUACACUCAUAAAAUUGGCUUUUCUCAAUGGUACCAUCCCAUUUUUGACUGGUACCAGUGGUACCCUCGUACUUUGAAUCUACUCUCUAUGGUACACUCGUGUACUUUUGAUCUAAAAUUGGAUGUAAAAGUUGUUUAGAGACGGGUAUUUUGUCUAAGUUUGUAUUUAAUCAUCAGGUAUUUGGUCUUUUAGUCAGACUGUGGCUCAUACAGUUUGAAGUUGAUAUCAAAUCUUAGAUGAGAGUGUUUGCAGUUUUAUAUUACUGAACAUUUUUUCUUGAAUUCGAUAUCGAAUUUUAAACGAAAAUAUGUGCAGUUUUAAUUUGAAAGUUAUGCAAAUUACAUUAAUAAUAUCAUCUAUUUUGAGUCUCUUGGUCUUCGGUCUUCUAUUGCAGCAUAUCAUAUACUUCUCAAAUGAUUGAAAAUGAACUCUCUCCAAAAGACAAGGGGGUCUAUCGAAGUAGACCUGCAAUUGAUUUUACUUGAAGAAACAAUAAUACUCCAGUUCACUUCUUAAAGUUUUGGUCGUCUUUUAUCUCUCAAAGUCUUGAUCUUUGUCGUUUACAUCUCAAACAAUUUUCCAUCGUAUUGAACACUUCACACAAUUCCAUCGUAUUGAACACUUCACACAAUUCCAUGCUAUCGUAUCAAACACUUCACACAAUUCCAUAAAAUUGAAGAUUUUUGACGAGAUGUUUUAACUAUGAGUUCUUCAAAUUAUUGCUUGUAAGGCCCGCGACAUUUUAGAGAGUCACCAAAGCUUUGGCCUGUGGAUUAAGUUGAUGAAAUCUAAUGCAUCGGAAUCAAUGACAACACUAUUUUAGGGGCUUGAUGCUCUUAAUAUUAUUCAUUCCGCUCAUAAAUUUCAAGUGGAGAGUGGAGAAGAAAGAGCAUCGUGAUUGUCACGGUACCCUUACUUAAAAUUUGUUCGAUUAGGUUUUUUUACGUAGUUUGCGCUUGGUCAUCUAGGUAGGCCUUCAUUAUAUUAACCCACUCGCAUGUCUUCAGCCACUCUUGUAAUUUCAUUAGGGCUGUCAAAAAAGUCCGAAAAAUCCGAUAUCCGUCCGAAAAAUCCGCAUUCGUAUCCGAGAUAAAGCGGAUAUUAUCCGUAUCCGAGACAAAGCGGAUAUUAUCCGCAUCCGAAUCCGACAAUUCCGGAUACGGAUACAGGCAUAUUUGUAUCCGAUAAUAUCCGAAUCCGAAAUUAAAUAUAUAUAUGAUAUUAAAUAUUAUAUAUGUAUAUUAUUAGUAUUAUUCAAUAACUAUAUAAUGUGUGUAUUUAUAUAUGUAUACAUAAAAUAAUAUAUUUAUAUAAAUUUUGUAUAAUUUUAAAAUAUUAUAGACAUAUAUCAUAAUUUUAUUUGAGUUUGAUAUUCUAAAGAUAACAAAUUUAUAUUGAAAGAUAAAUAAGAAUUAAUUUUUGAAUUAAUAUAAACUUUAUUUAAUGAUUUUAAUUUUUUUACUCAGUUUUUAAAAAUUAAACUUUAAUUUUUACUAUUUUUUAUGAUUUUUUAGAAAUUUUAAUAAAAAAAUAAAAUUUCUGAUUAAAAAUCAGAUUCGGAUCCGGAUAUUAUCCGAAUCUGGAUAAUAUCCAUCGGAUCCGGAUUCGGAUAUCAUCCUUUAAAAUAUUUCGGAUUCGGAUCCGGAUACGGAUAUGGAUUUUCGGAUUCGGAUCCGGAUACAGGCAGAUCCGUAUCCGAAUUAUCCGUUUGACACCCCUAAAUUUCAUAUUAAACAAAUUUAAAUUUCUUACAUAAAUUUGUAAAAAUAAUAAAUUUUUUCUUAUUUAUGAUAUUAAUAAAUCUCUUACUCUCUUAUUACUGUAUUCAACUAAUUAUUUUUUCCUAACAGUUAUAAAUGUAUCACAUCAGUUAUGAAAUUUAAAACAAAUAUGUCCAAUUUUUUCGAGAAAGAUGGUUGUAUAAUUUUUAAUUUAAAAUUUUAAUUAUUUUUAUUUUCAAUAUAAUUUACAACUAAAUUUUUUUUAUUAUAAUUUCACUGCUUCAUAUUUGUAAUAAAAUUAAAUAUAUCAUAAAUACACUUUUUUCUAUAUAUAUGCUAACCUCUAGAGAUGUUAAAGAUCAUCCCAAACAAAAUUUGAAAGCGAAAAUGAAAAUGAAAAAUUCCGUACUCUGUUUUUUCACCAUCAGUGUGAUGCUCAUCUUCUUGCAGUUGCAGCACCACCUGGUGGCUUCUUCAUUGAGCCCCAGCUUGCAGAAACUUGCGUUGUUCGACUUUAAACAAACCUUUUCAAUCAGUAAUGAUCCUAAUAGCUGGAUAUGCUCCUAUUAUUCCGUCGAAGACGAAGAGUUUUACGAAAUUCCUUCUCGGCCAAAGACAAAGAAUUGGAGCAUGAGUUCUGAUCACUGCACAUGGGAUGGAGUUAGCUGCGACGACAAGACAGGGGAUGUUAUCGGACUGGAUUUAACUUGCAGUCAGCUGCAAGGAGCCAUUCUUCCUAACAACACUCUCUUCCAGCUCUCUCAUCUCCGCUUCCUCAAUCUUUCUCAAAACGACUUUUCCCAUUCCAACCAGUUCCCUCAGGAAUUUGGUUUCUUUGCAAAAGGUUUGAAGCAUCUCAACCUCUCUUAUACUGGAUUAUCAGGGAGAGUUCCCUUGGGAAUCUCUCAUUUGCAGAAACUGGUCUCACUUGAUCUCAGUUACAACUCUGAAGCUGAACUUAAAGAAGAAGUGUUUAAAUCAAUGUUGCAGAAUUUAACUCAUCUCAGAGUGCUUAAUCUUAAUUACGCUAACAUCUCCUCUGUUUUGCCCGUGAAUAUCUCUGCUUCUUUAAGAGUUCUUCAAUUGUGGGGUACUGGUAUAGACGGAGUAGUACCCCAAGAGGUUUUCCACCUUCCCAACUUGGAAUCACUUGAUUUAUCAAGUAAUUACGACCUGAGAGCUACAUUACCCAAAGUUAAGUGGGGAAGUAAUGCUACUCUCCAACACCUUGUUCUUAAAUACAUCAACAUAGAUGGAGGUAUACCUGAUUCAAUAGGCUUUUUGGAGUCGUUGGGCAGUUUGGAUCUGAGCCGUUGUAAUUUGUCUGGGCCGAUUCCAAGAUCCAUCGGGCACCUCAUUCAACUUACUACAUUGGUCCUCUCUGAAAAUAAUCUCAAUGGCCCAAUUCUAACUUUUCUUACAGACCUUAAAGACUUGAGAUAUAUCUCCCUUGAGCGUAACAAUUUUACGGGUUCGUUUCCCUCUUUUCUUGCCCACUCCAGUAAACUAGUUGUGAUGUAUCUUGAUAGUAAUAGCUUUACUGGAUCCCUACCCAGUUGGUUGUUUCACCCUCCAUCGUUAGAGACCUUGUAUCUGCAUAAUAACGCAUUCACGGGUCAACUACAUGAAUUUCAUUCUUCUCACUCACGGCUGCAAUCUUUUUGGUGUAACAACAAUUUACUCUACGGAUCCAUUCCACAUUCAUUUUCUCAACUUGUGAAUCUCACAUCCCUAGAUUUGUCAUCAAACAAUUUCAGCGGGGUUUUGGAUUUGGAAAUGUUUUCAGGCCUCAAAUUUCUAAGAAGUCUUGAUCUUUCUCAUAACAGUCUGUCAGUGAGAAGUACAAUCAUGUCUACUCUCCCUCCUAAACUUAACCACUUGGGCUUGUCAUCUUGCAACAUGAAAGAGUUUCCUCACUUUUCAAGAGAUGCAAACAUCUCCAUGGAUUUUAUAGACCUAUCAAACAAUAAAAUUGAAGGGGAAAUUCCACACUGGAUUGGGUCGCUGGGGAGGUACUCUGACACUUACAGCUCCUAUCUGAAUCUUUCUCACAACAAACUAAUAGGCGGUCUUGAGCAACUGCCUUGGGGUUAUAUUACUUAUCUUGAUCUCCAAUACAAUAAGCUGGAUGGAUCGUUGCCCACCUUGAUGUGUAGUUCCACCUCUCUUCAUAUUCUAAAUCUGUCUCACAACAAAUUGAGUGGUGUACUACCCAGUUGUCCUCCACAUAGGAAUAUUCUUUCAGUGUUGGAUCUGCGGAGGAAUAAAAUUCAAGGAAACAUUCCAGCAACCUUGUCAAAUUUCUAUAAUCUGGAAACCAUUAAUUUGAAUGGAAACCAAUUAGAAGGAGGCAUUCCUUCUUCUUUUGCUGAAUUUGAUUCAUUAGCCGUUCUUGAUCUUGGAAAUAAUCAGAUAAAUGAUACAUUCCCCCGGUGUUUGGAAGCUCUUCCAAAUCUCCAAGUUCUUGUUCUCAAAUCAAACAAGUUUUAUGGUCUUAUAAACACGAGUUCUCAGGUUGUACACCCAUUUCCUAGCUUGAGAAUCAUUGAUCUUUCGUACAACAAGUUUUCAGGUGCACUGCCAGAAAAAUAUUUCAGAAACUUCAAGGCUAUGAUGAAUGGUGAAGUGAAUAAGGUAAAUCGUAGUUAUAUGGAGCAGGAGGAUUAUUACAGGGAUUCCACAGCUCUAGUGAUUAAAGGCAUGGAGAUUGAUUUAGAAAGAAUUUUGACUGUGUUCACAACUAUUGAUGUAUCAAAGAACAAUUUUGAUGGGGAGAUAGCUGAAUACUUUGGAAAUCUUGUAUCACUCAGAUUUCUUAAUCUUUCUCACAAUUAUCUCACAGGCCACAUACCACGCUCGAUUGGAAAAUUGACUGUGCUGGAGUCACUAGACCUCUCAUCCAACCAACUUAAAGGAGAAAUUCCUCCGCAGCUCACUAGUGUAUAUUCACUUGCAGUUCUCAAUCUGUCUUGCAACCAACUUAGAGGACGUAUUCCAGAAGGGUGGCAAUUCGAUACGUUUGAAAACAGCAGCUACGCUGGUAACUUUGGGCUGUGCGGACAUCCCUUGUCGAAAAAGUGUGAAUCUUAUGUUAAAACACAAGAAGAAGACGAAGAAGAUGAGGAUGAAUGUCACUUUUUCAGUGGUUUUACUUGGGAAGCGGUGGUGAUUGGAUAUGGGUGUGGAGUGGUGCCUGCAUUUAUUAUUGGGUACCUGAUGUUGCUGGCACAGAAACCAAAAUGGUUUGCUGGAAUCAUUGGCAGGGAAUUGGGCCUGAAGAUGAGGAGGAUGGAGAUUAGAAUGCGAUAACUAAAGGUUUGCUGUAAUCUGUAUCCCAUUCCCAGGUCUUGAAUAUUCUGUGAUAAUAUAGUAAUAUCUGGUCUCAUAUAAUUCUAUAUUUGCACCUGUAGACGUUUACAGAUUGGAGAGGCAUGAACAUUUUGGCAUGCAAGUUGAUGGGAAAAGCAGGAUUCAAAUGCAUUGGAAUCAACAACUGCGGUGUUGUAGGCAGCCAAGUUAAUAAACCACUACUUCAGCUGUUUUGCAUCUUCUGUGAUUUUAAAUUUUACAUUUUACAAUAUAAGUCAAAAGAUACAAGUUCAAUAUACAAGUUUUGUUUUGUUUAGUUCCAGCCUAUAAACACUUCAGUAGAUACCAGAGGAGAAAUGGAUACAAUCAAUGUCGGAAUUGGUCUUUAUAGUUGAAACAAAGACUACCAGAUCAUUACCAAUAUCAACUAGGCAUGUUGUUUAACGGGGAACUCAUAACUGGACAAUAAUUUUAAUAAUUUAGAAUUUGUGUAAUUUAUUACUGGUCUAAAGGACACGGGAUGGGUUUGCAAUAGUUAUUUGGAAACAGCUUGCUUAGAUAAAUGGACAGUGUUUUAUAAUAAUAGAGUCCGGGGCCUAUCAAGUGAUUGUUAGAGCAAUUUAUCUACUGUUUUUUAUAGCGGAAAAACAUAAACACUUGGUUUUUUAGUGCAUGCAGAGGGUCCAUCAGUCCAUCCGCAAUUUACACACUCAUUAUUCCAGGAUUCUCUGUUUCAUGGUAUUCUGCUGUGUAAAGAACAAUCACUUGUCAGGACCACCUCCCAUAAUCACAAGAGAUUCUAUAGGAAAAGAAGCAACAGACAUGGUUGGAUUGUUUGUUUUCUGUAUUCUUCUGCUAAAAGGCUACCCUUUUAAAGUCUCUUUUAUAUAUAAAGAUACAAAAAAAAAAAAAAAAAUCAUACUAAUAAAGAUUCUUUUUGGCUCCUCCAGAACUGGCCAGUUUUUCCUUAACUUUGCUUCUCCCACAUAAGACUAUAAGAAUAUUACAAUGAAAUAGUUGAUUAUCGUUGAACUUGCCAAUCUGUUGACUUGGUAAUUUGAAUUUGAUAAGCUCUGAAUUGUAAGUAACGAGGAACAAGAUGACAUGAUGGUAAAUAGAAAAUACAAGAUGUCCAUCAACAUAGCAAAGAAAUAUUUUUCAGCCGGACGACAUAUCAGGAUGUUCAUUACUAAAACAUGUUUGCUGAUGCUUUAUAAUGUACAAUUUACAAUAUAUCACAGGUUGUAAUAUACACUACUAGAUGAUUUUAUGGCCUGUUUAUCCUUAAUCGCUAUCAUGAACUAAUGAAAAUUUAUAAAAGUGGAUCACAUUUGCAGUGAUGCCGCUAUUUUUCCUGAAUUUCCCUAGUUGUGAAGAUUCCCUAGUUGUGAAGAUUGUCUAAAUCAUGUUAGAGUCGCUGCCAUCAGUGAAUGCAUUCAAUGGCUUACUGAAACUGGUAGAGAUACUAAAUUGCAAGAUGACAGAGUGUCCAUGCGUCAUUUUAAGGAUCAAGAUGUGUAGCUGUGACUUGUAUUUUAAAAUUGCAAGAUGUUUUACAAUGGUAGCAGAGGAGGGCUGGGGAUUUAUUGGGUCAGUUCGAAGCACACAAGUAGAAUUGGUUGUGGCAGAGCAAGAAGCUGAGCACGACCAUAAGAAUUUGAACUCUGAGGCUAAUUUGACUCUACUUGUACAAGUUAAUAUAUGAUGGCACAAGUUAAUAUAUGAUGGCAGCAAAGGAGUUUCUUACAUGCGCCAGUUUACAGUUCUUAGAAACAUCUUAUUAUGCUUAUUUGUACUAAACAGAUAUUAGUAGUCCACCAGAAACAAGGAGAUUUGAUAUAUCCCGGACUCUGAGGCCGGUGACAGUCUAUGAGAGGGCAUGUAAUCGAUGGAACAAGGAGGAUUCAGAUACAUUGGAUUCAUUAACAGAACUUCUUCAGAGCCGGAGUCACUUCCAGAUGCUCUCUUCUGGUAGAUAUCUAUUGGAGAAGUAAAAACAUCUCAUAAUCAUCAUUCAGCACUUGCUCUGAGUUUGUUGAUCAACCAUGCGAUGUUGAAGGCAGCUCUUAUCUUAUCUGCAAUCAAGUUAAUGAACCACCACCUCAGUUGUUAAGCAUCUUUCACCAUUUUACAUUUUACAACUCACAAUAAAAGAUUACAUGUGUAUUAAUCUGAUCAUCAUUUGUUUGAUCAAUAUAGAAGUUCGGCUCUGUUUACUUCUAUCCCUGGCUCUUCAUUUCUAGAACAUUGUUGAUACUUUUUAUUGAAUGGUUAAGAAUAUUCCAUAGAUUUUUAUAUUCAGUGCUAGAUGAUUUUAUGUCCUGUUUUCAUUCCAUUCAUGAACUAAUUAAAAAUUUGAAAGUGAUGCCCACCUUUCUGGACCUGCAUUCCAUGACCACAAACUCCAAUUCUGCCCAAAAAUUGCAGCUGUUUCGUAAUAUUUUUCUACGUGUUCUUUUGUUUGGACUUGUUUGCUGGACCAUGCAUAUUGUUUUGAUACAAACAUCUUUGUUGAUGUUAACACUCAUUGUUAGUAGCCCAUUCUUUACGGCAGACAUUGAAUUGGAUUUACUUGAAGAAAUGAAGGUUUAAGAAAGUUCAGAGCAAUUUGUUGAUUAUUUCCUUCCCUAGAAACUGCACUCCAGCAUCAAAGUACCUUUCAAAGACUCUACACAUAAUCUCUUGAUUAUCAAAGACUUGGUCUUGCAUAUACUGAUAUACACUGAAUAUAGGUUUCUUUCAUUUCCUUGAAAUUGCAUUUUUCGAAGUAACUCUCCAGACUCAUUCCCGUCACUUCUCAAAGUCUUAGUCCUCAUCAAUACAUUCACAUAAUAUCACACCAAUUUGCUCAUGCUCAGAUGGGCUUUUCUUACAAACCACAUAUGUUCACUUCUCAGAGUCUUAGUCCUCGUCAAUGUAUAGAGAUAAUAUCUCACCAUUUGCUAGUGCUACAAAUCAGUUUCUCCUACAACCACACAUAAUCGGAGAAAAGUCUGUCAAGUGUCAAGUGGACUUGAAAGACCCUUCUGCAUGGAUUAUUGUAUGUCAUGAAUGCCUUCUGAUAUCCCUGAAAGUGCAAGCAAGUUAUAAAAGUAGCUGGGCAGACUCUUUCUCAUCAAUACAUUCACAUUCAAAGCGGGCGUUGAUAUGCCUCCCUAAUUUUCUAAUGCCCUAGACGGAAUUCUAUUACAAUCCACAUAUGAUGGGUAGCGAUCAUCAAUUCAAAGAAGACACUAUCAGCAGCUUGCAGGAAAUGACCCCUCUGCAUGGAUUAUCGAAGAAAGAAACUUAUACCUAUAAAGCUGUAGAAAACCAAUGGUAAGCAUAACUGCAUAUAAGAUACAAAACUAAAUUUAAUACAAGACUCGUUCUGAGCAUUGGAAAAUAUGCUUUUAUUGCAGCCAAUGUAUUAGUGAAAAGAAUUAAAUUUAAAUUAAUUGUAGACUGCAAAUAUAAGAUUAGGAGAGUUUCUACAACCCACAAAUUAGUAGACAGACUAAUAUGAUUAGUUGAGACCAUCAAUCUGGAGAAACUGUUUCUACAAUGACCCAUCUGUAUGAAUUAUUGAAGAAAGAAACUUAUACCUACAAUGUAAAGGAAAUAAUCACGAGUAUAUUGCAUUUUUAAUCCAAAUUGUAUAUGAUUCUAUCUGUGCUACUGAUAGUAAAUAAUAAAUCUACAACGGGCCUUGCAGUUAAUCAAGGUAUUUAACUCUACCUUUCUACAUUGUUGAAUAGUUUGAAUAAAAUAAUUGUAAUAAAUUUUUUGCUGGAUGCUGUGUGAGUUUACCAGAGCUUAUCUUGGUGAGAAGUCUGAGUACAAGGCAAUGAGCAGGAAACAACAUAGGGAGUUUACAACUAGAAGUAUCUAUUCUCCCCUAGUCUUUUUGUGAACAUCAAGAGGCCAUUCAUUUUGCUCACAAACCAGUUAAAAAUGGCAGGACUACACAUAAUGAAUCACGCAGUCACUUUAUGUGAGAAAAGAAAAAUGUCAGGACAGCAGCUCAAACGUUUAAAAAACUUCAUUAAUUAUUUUCUUUUAUUGAAACCACACUCAUCCAUCAAAGUAGCUCUCAAAGACUAAUUUCCAUCACCUUUUGAUUCUCAAAGUCUUCUUCUUCGUCUUUUACUGCUCCUAAAGUUCUUCCAUUGCAAGCCACAUAUUAGUAGACAUACUACAUCAACUCUGUGGAAAGAAACAAUCUAUACUUGAUCUUGAUGUACAAUGUUAUGAUGUAAAUGUAUAAUAUCAAAAUUAGGAAUAGUAGUCACGCGCUAAUUAAUAACCCUCUGCAGGGGUUAUUAAAGAAAGCAACUUAUAGUUUAAGUUGCUGAACAUUUGUGUGUGCCAAAUUUAAUUUCACACAUCAUUACUAGAUUUACACAUGGUAUUAGACAUCAGUACUAGUAUAAGAUGUUAAUCAAGUUUUAUAAUUUCUUUUAUUUCAGAUAACAAGUUUUUUUUUUUGUGGAAUUAAUUAUUUAUAUCAUGCAUUUGAGCUUUAAAAUUAGCUCUACAUAAAAGUUGGUCUAUUGCAGUAGACACUAAAAUGAUUUCGCUCAAAGAAACAAUGAUGUAUAUGAAGAUUUUCAGAACUGAAUUUCUUUCUAUUUCUAAAAAUUGCAUUCAAGAACCGAAAGUAGCUCACAAAGACUCAUUACAUCAUCUUUCAAUUCUCAUUGUCUUGGUCUUUGUCUUCUACUGCUCAAAAUUCUAUUACAGCCCACAUAUCAGUAUCAUAUACCUAAUCAUAAAUAGUAUUUAAUAUUUAACACAAUUGAAGAUUUGUCUCAGAGACUUACUUCCAUCACCUUAUGGUUCUCAAAGUCUUCGUCUUCUAAUGCUCCAAAAGUUCUAUUAGUUCAGGCCACAUAUUAGUAAACAGACUACAAUUCAUCCAAAAUGACCCCUCUUAUUGGACACUUUGAACACCUCUAUCUGUAUAUGCAUUGGAGAAGAAUUAUCAGCUAGUUAAAAUAACCUCUUCGCAUCAACUCUAUCGAAAGAAGCAAUUCAUACCUAAAGUACAAUGUUUGGAUAAAAUCAGGAAUAGCAACUGCACGCUAAUUUUUUAGUUGAAGCAGGCUACCUUGGUGUAAUUCAGUGAACAUCCCCGUAAUUUCUUGACAGGCCACAAUUAAGGAAGUUCACAGAAUUAAAUUCCAGAAGUAGCUCCCUGAGACAGAUUUGCAUCAUCUUUCCAUCCUCAAAGUUCUUUACACUUAUAUUAUAUUUCAUGUUUUAUUGUAAUGAACAUAGCAGUUUCCUGUUCAGUAAUAUUCCAGGCUCAGGUUCUUCAUUCCUAGUCUCUGUUACAUGUUUGCCACUAAAACGUAUUGAACAGUUAUUAGUUUAUGAUUGUAUUCCAUCUUGAAAGGAGAUCUCAAAGACUCAUUCCCAUAAUCUUAAGAAUCUCAAGUCUUGAUGAACUUGGCCUUCAUCAUAUUUGUACUCUUGUAAUUCCAUAUUAAUGAAGUUUAAAUAUUUAUUUCAAAAAAAAAUGAAGUUUAAAUAUUAAAAUUUUUAAUUUUAGUAAAUUUGUAAAAAUAGUAAAAUUUGUCUUAUUUAUAAUAUUAAUAAAUCUCUUACUUUCUCGUUACUGUAUUCAACUUAAUAAUUCUUACAAACACUUGUAAGUGCAUCACAUAAGUUAUGUAAAUUCAGAAUAAAUUAUGUCCGAUUUCUUUAAGAGAGAUUGUUAUAUUGUUUUUACUUUAAAAAUUGAAUUAUCUUUUAUUUUUAAUAUAAUUUACAACUAAAAAAUAUUUAAUAUAUUUUCUUAUUUUUGUAAUAUGACUAAACAUAUCUUAAAUACACCUUUUUCCUAUAUAUAUAUAUAUAUACAUCUAUUAUAUUUUUUAUGAAAUAUAAUUACAAAUUUUGAUUAUUAAACCGAAAACGAAGUUAUACAAUUUUUUUAUUUCAAAGAUCAUCUAAUAUAUCAUGUAAUAUCUCAACAUGAUUCUAUAACAGAAUAAUAAUCAUUCAGAAUUAUUCUGUUGUAGAAUCAGUUUCGAAACUAUACUUUUUUUUAUCAAAUUUUAAGUGUUAAAUUACUUAAAAUAGAUAUAUUUUAUAGUAUUCUAUAUUAGAAUCACGUUUUAUAUGUAUUUUAUAGCAGAAUUUAUAAUAAAAUUGAUGAUUUAUAAUGCCGCACUAUGUAACUUCAUAUAAAGAGUCCCUUUCUGGAAUGUUGGCAUAUAUAUAUACUAGCUUAAAACCCGUGCAAUGCACGGGCGGUUAUGAUAUUUAUUAUUUUAUCGUAUAUAUUCCAGAUUUAACUAAUUUUAUUGAAAUUAAAAUUGUGAUAGAAUAAUGUGAUUAAAUAAAACAUUUAUUUAACGACUGAAAAAUUCUUAAUAGUUAAAUCCGUCAAAUAGCUAAUUUAAAAUUAAGUCAAAUAUAUAUUUUAAUAAAAAUGUUAAAAUAUAUUAUAUUUUUUAUAUGUUAUAAUUCAAGAAGACACAUAAACCUAGAUAUAAACAACCCAAUCAACCUUUUAAUAUUUUGUUAUUAAUAAUAUAGAACAAAUCCUUAAAAUAGAAUCAGAUAAGUAUAAAACAUAUUGUAAGCUAAAGGGAAGUGUACUGAUCCAUAACACUAACCUAAUUUAUUUAUUUUUAAACAGCACUAACCUAAUUUAUAAAUUAAGGAGGUCCAUGGAUCAAAUAUGAACCGGUUUAUAAAACUCGACCGACCAACUGAACUUUUCAGUUUAUGUUUUAAUAGUACAAUAAUAUAUAGUAUAGUAUAGAUUUGUAAUUUUAACUUUUAAAUUUAGAUCAGUAGAGCAUUUAAAGUAACGUUAAUAUAUUUUGAUCGACAAAUAUCGCCAUUUAUUUAAUAAUAUUGUUAUAUUUUUAUAUAUAUGUCGCCCGUGUUAAUUGUAGUAGAUCAAUUUUUUCAGUCAGUAAAUCUUAAAAAAAAAAUGUGUUUUAGUUAAAAAGGUAAUUACUAUUGCUCGAUGUUAUUUUAGAAAAUUGUGUUUUUUUAGUUAGAAAAUAUAAAAAAGAUAACAUAUUCUAGUUUAAAAGAAUAUUUAGUUAUAUAGAUAGGCCUGUAUUUCGGCCCAAAGUUAAAAAGAAUACUCCCUCCGUCCCCUCCAAUUCUUAUCGUUUGGAAUGGAGUGCUCGGCACGCAUUUUAAGACUCAUAUAAAGUAUAGUUCCAUAACUCAUUUUCAUAAUUCUCUUUUUCUGAAUAAAAAUUUAAACAUUACAUUUUUAUUUAAAAAAAGAAAAUUUUAAAAAUAAGUUAUGGAACUAUACUUUAUAUAAGCCUUAAAAUGCGUGCCGAGCACUCCAAUCCAAAUGAUAAGAAUUGGAAGAGACAGAGGGAGUAAUUAGUUAUGUCGAUAGACCCGUAUUCGGUCCAAUUACUUACAUACCAUAACUUUCAAUUUUCGAUUUUAAUAAUAUAGUAAACCUUAAAAAAGAUAAUGUAUUUUAGUUAAAAAGGUAAUAACUAUAUUGUUCGAUGUUAUUUUAUAAAAUUGAGUUUUUUAGUUAGAAAAUAUAAAAAAGAUAACAUAUUAUAGUUAAAAAGAAUAAUUAGUUAUAUAAAUAGGCCUUAUUUCGGCCUAAAGUUAAAAAUAAUAAUUGGUUAUAUAGAUAGGCCCGUAUUUCGGCCCAAAUUUUGACCGAUCAAACUUUCAAUGUUCGUAAUUACUGUUGCUCGAUGUUAUUUUAGAAAAUUGAGUUUUUUUAGUUAGAAACUUUAAAAAAGAUAACAUAUUCUGGUUUAAAAGAAUAAUUAGGUAUAUCGAUAGGCCUGUAUUUCGAUUUUCGGCCCAAAGUUAAUAAGAAUUAUUAGUUAUGUCGAUAGGCCCGUAUUCGGUCGAAUUACCGACAUACCAAACUUUCAAUUUUUUAUUUUAAUAGUAUAGUGAACCUUAAAAAAGAUAACGUAUUUUAGUUAAAAAGGUAAUAACUAUAUUGUUCGAUGUUAUUUUAGAAAAUUGAGUUUUUCUAGUUAAAAAAUAUAAAAAAGAUAACAUAUUAUAAUUAAAAAAAUAAUUAGUUAUAUAAAUAGGCCUUAUUUCAGCCCAAAGUUAAAAAUAAUAAUUAGUUAUAUAGAUAGUCCCGUAUUUCGGCCGAAAUAUCGACCGAUCAAACUUUCAAUGUUUCAGUUUUAAAAAUAUAGUAUAGCUUUCGGCCCAAAGUUAAAAGAAUAAUUAGUUCUACAGAUAAGCCCGUACUUCGGCCCAAGUACCGACCGACCGACCAAACUUUUAAUGUUUCGGCUUUAAUAGUACUAACUUAUAGCCCGUGCAAGGCAUGGGAGCUUUUUAGUAAUUUAUAAACUUUUUAAAUAUAUUUUAAAUUAUGUGAAAAUUUUUAAUUUACAAAUAAUAAAUUAAAAUUUUCAAUUAAAUAAAAUUUGAAAUUAUGAUUUGUUUGCAAUUCCGAACUUUUGUAAAAAUAUAUAAUUUUUAUAUGAUGUUGGUACAAUUUAAAAUUUUAUCUUAAAUUUUAGUUGAAUCUAAUACAAAAUAUUAGUUUCCAUGAUUUAUUAGUUAUGAAUAACUUAAGCUAACGUAUUCGUCUUUAAUAAUAAAAAUAUUUAAUAGCAUGAGGUAAUGCAUAUUUGCAUAUAAUUUUUCAUUUUUCUUUUUUAAUAUAUAUACUUGAAUAAAAAUAUUUAUUUUAAAAAUAUUUUUAUGUUAAAUUAUUAAUCUUUAUAUAUAAAAUAUAUUCCCUACGGGCUACGUCCCAUCAUAUUAUUUAGAGUUUUUUUUUUGGGAUGUACCAUCAAAUUCUUUACAUUUCAAAACUUACCAAAUAGGUCCCACCACUACACAACUUUUCCUACCUUUUCACACUACUUUUACUCCUUUUUCACAAUACCUUUACUCUACUAUCUUCUUUUUAUACAUUAAAAAUUAAUAGGUCCCACUACUUACCCAUUUUUCUUUUUAUUUUCCACUACUUUGUACAUAUAUCUUCACCUCCGUGCCCAAACCAAACAUAAAGAUUGGCUGGGACGGAAGGAGUAUUCAUUAAUAAUUUGAAUAACAUGCAUGCAAAUAGAAGGCAUAACAUGUCUGGAUUAGGAAAAUUUGUUAAAAAUAUGCGUUAUAUUUUUCACACUUGUUUCUAAUUUGGAUAAAAAUAUUUUUGUGAUCGUGCAAUUUGUAUGAUUCUACAAAUAAAAAUGGGAAUAUUUAUUUUAGAUUAAAAUAACAUAAACACGUGAAAGAAAUAAUUUGUUUUGGAUUCAGAAAAGAAGAUAUCAGUUGCCUAGCUGCCUUAUAAGUUCUAAUCUAACAGUGCUUAUUUGAUCAAUAUACGAUCUAACGGAUGAUAAGCUUUUGGACCAGAGGACCAUGCGACCAAAUUAUCUCCCUUACGCUUAUUAUAUAAUACUAGCUUAUAGCCCGUGCAAGGCACGGGAGCUUUUUAAUUAUUUAUAAAUUUUUUAAAUAUAUUUUAAAUGGUGUGAAAAAAUUAAUUUAUAAAUAAUAAAUUAAAAUUGUACAUAUCAUGCCAAAGUAUUAAAUUCUUUCUAUCAAAUUUUAAACCAACUCCUAUUAGAUUAUAUUUAUAAAAGUUCUAAUCUAACAGUGCUUAUUUGAUCAAUAUACGAUCUAACGGAUGAUAAGCUUUUGGACCAGAGGACCAUGCGACCAAAUUAUCUCCCUUACGCUUAUUAUAUAAUAUAGCUUAUAGCCCGUGCAAGGCACGGGUGCUUUUUAAUUAUUUAUAAACUUUUUAAAUAUAUUUUAAAUGGUGUGAAAAAAUUAAUUUAUAAAUAAUACAUUAAAAUUGUAUUCUCAAAAUGGUGUGAAAAAAUUUAAUUUAUAAAUGUUAAAUUAAAAUUGUAUGUAUCAAUGCCAAAGUAUUAAAUUCUUUCUAAAUUUUAAAUUAUUUUAAGUAGUGUGACGCCAACUCCUAUUAGAUUAUAUUUAUAAAUGUAUUUUAUAUUAGAAUUAUUAUAAUGUGAUUUAAAUAUUUUUCUAAAAAUUUUUAUGGUUCGAGAUUAAAAUUGAUAAACACAAUUUGUUUUGAAUUAAGAAGAUGAAUCAUAAACAUGCAAUAAGAUGGUAGAAUUUGCUUUGGAUUAAAAAAUUUUUUUUGUAUUUGUUCCUCACAUAAAUCGGGCUUAUUAAUUUUGAAAUAUAUUAGGUAAAAAUAAUUUUGUGACUGUGCGAUUUAUAUGAUUCUACAAAUAAAAUUGGUAGAAAAUAUUUAUUUUGGAUCAAAAAAAAUCAUAAACACGGGAAAUACUUAAUUUGUUUUGGAUUCAGAAAAGGAUUUAUAAACAUGCAAGUAGAUAUCAGUUGUGUUAUGGAACAAAAGUUAAUUUUGUUCUAAUCCAACGGUGCUUAUUUGUUCAAUAUACGAUCCGAUGGAUAAAAAUAAUCUUGUGACGGUGUGAUUUAUACGAUUCCACAAUUAAAAUUUGUAGGAAAUAUUUAUUUUGAAUUAAAAAAAAACAAAAACACAUGAAAGACAGAAUUUGUUUUGAAUUCAGAAAAAGAAUUAUAAACAUGCAAGUAGAUGUCAGUUUCCUUAUAGAACAGAAUUUAAUUUUGUUCUAAUCUAACGGUGCUUAUUUGUUCAAUAUACGAUCCAACGGCUUUUGGACCACAGGACCUUGCGACCAAAUUAUCUCCCUUACGCUUAUUAUAUAUAAGUAUAUAAUAAGUAUAUAAUAGUAUAGAUAUGCUAGUCUUAAAUAUAUUUUUUUCCUAUAUAUAUGCUAGCCUCUUGAGACGUGAUCAUCCCAAACAAAAAAAUUUAACGGAAAAAGAAAAUGAGGAAUUCCAUCCUCUGUUUUUCCACCAUCUGUUUGUUGCUCAUCUUCCUGCAGUUGCAGCACAACCUAGUGGCUUGUUCAUUAAGCCCCCACUUGCAGAAACUUGCCUUGUUCCAUUUUAACCAAACCUUAACAAUCAGUACUACUAGCUGGGAUUGCGAAUACGUUUCCUACGAAGAGAAUGCAGUGUAUGAAAUUCCUUCACGGGCAAAGACAAAGAAUUGGAGCAUGAGUUCUGAUCACUGCACAUGGGAUGGAGUUAGCUGCGACGACAAGACAGGGGACGUUAUCGGACUGGAUUUAAGUUGCAGUCAGCUGGAAGGAGCCAUUCUUCCUAACAGCGCUCUCUUCCAGCUCUCUCAUCUCCGCUUCCUCAAUCUUUCUCAAAACGACUUUUACCUCGCCAGUCAGUUCCCUCAGGAAUUUGGUUUCUUUGCAAAAGGUUUGACGCAUCUCAACCUCUCUAAUACUGGAUUAUCAGGGAGAGUUCCCUCGGGAAUCUCUCAUUUGUAUAAACUUGUCUCACUUGAUCUCAGUGACAACUCAGUCUCACUUGAUCUCAGUCAGAACUAUGAGGCUAAACUUGAAGAAGAAGUGUUUAAAUCAGUGUUGCAGAAUUUAACUCAUCUUGAAGUGCUUAAUCUUAAUGGAGUUAAGAUCUCCUCUGUUUUGCCCCUGAAUAUCUCUACUUCUUUAAGAGUUCUUCAAUUGAGGUAUACUUAUAUACACGGAGUAGUACCCCAAGAGGUUUUCCACCUUCCCAACUUGGAAUUACUUGAUUUAUCACUUAAUGACGACCUGAGAGCAACAUUACCCAAAGUUAAGUGGGGAAGUAAAGUUACUCUCCAACACCUUCAUCUUUCAUACAUCAACAUAGAUGGAGGUAUACCUGACUCAAUAGGCUUUUUGGAGUCAUUAGUCAGUUUGGAUUUGAGCAGCUGUAAUUUGUCUGGGCCUAUACCAAGAUCCAUUGGGCACCUCGUUCAACUUACUCGCUUGGACCUCUCUCAAAAUAUUCUCAAUGGCCCAGUUCCAACAUUUUUUACAGACCUUACAGACUUAAGAUAUAUCUCCCUUUGGCAAAACAAUUUCACUGGAUCCCUACCUCGUUCGUUGUUUCACCAUCCAUCCUUAGAGUCCUUGUCUCUGGAUAAUAAUGCAUUCACGGGUCAACUACAUGAAUUUGAUUCUUCUCGCUCACGGCUGCAAUCUUUUUCUUGUUCCAACAAUUCACUCUAUGGAUCCAUUCCACAUUCUUUUUCUCAGCUUGUGAAUCUCACUGUCCUAGAUUUGUCAUCAAACAAUUUCAGCGGGGUUUUGGAUUUGGAAAUGUUUUCAGGCCUCGAAUCUCUAAAACGUCUUCAUCUUUCUGAUAACAGUCUUUCAGUGAGAAGUACAAUUAUGGCCACUCUCCCUCCUAAUCUUUACUCCUUGGGCUUGUCAUCUUGCAACAUGAAAGAGUUCCCCCACUUUUCAAGAGAUGCAAACAUCUCCCUGAAUCUUAUAGACCUAUCAAACAAUAAAAUUGAAGGGGAAAUUCCACACUGGAUUGGGUCGGUGGGGGAUUUCUAUGGAAUCCCUUAUCUGAAUCUAUCUCACAACAAACUAAUAGGCGGUCUUGAGCAACUGCCUUGGGGUUAUAUUCAAUAUCUUGAUCUCCAAGACAACAAGCUGAAUGGCUCCUUGCCCACCUUGAUGUGUAAUUCCAGCUCUCUUGAGAUUCUAAAUCUCUCUCACAACAAUUUGAGUGGUGUACUCCCCAUUUGUCAUACAAAUUUGACUCAGCUUUCGGUGUUGGAUCUGCGGAGGAAUAAAAUUCAAGGAAUCAUUCCAGCAACCUUGUCAAAUUUCCGUUAUCUGGAAACUAUUAAUUUGAAUGGAAACCGCUUACAAGGAAGCAUUCCUUCUUCUUUUGCUGAAUUAGAUUCUUUAGCCGUCCUUGAUCUUGGAAAUAAUCAGAUAAAUGAUACAUUCCCCCUGUGUUUGGAAGCUCUUCCAAAACUCCAAGUUCUUGUUCUCAAAUCAAACAAGUUUCAUGGUAUAAUAAACCAGAGUUCUGAGACAAAACACCCAUUUCCUAGCUUAAGAAUCAUUGAUCUUUCGUACAAUGAGUUUUCAGGUGCACUGCCAGAAAAAUAUUUUAGAAACUUCAAGGCUAUGAUGAAUGCGGAAGUGAAUAAGAUAAAUCGUAGCUAUAUGGAGCAUCGGUAUUACAGUGAUUCCACAGCUCUGGUGAUUAAAGGCAUGGAUAUUGAUUUACAUAGAAUUUUGACUGUGUUCACAACUAUUGAUGUAUCAAAGAACAAUUUUGAUGGGGGGAUAGCUGAAUACUUUGGAAAUCUAGUAUCACUCAGAUUUCUUAAUCUUUCUCACAAUUAUCUCACAGGCCACAUACCAUGCUCGAUUGGAAAAUUGACUGUGCUGGAGUCACUAGACCUCUCAUCCAACCAACUUGAAGGAGAAAUACCUCAGCAGCUCACUAGUGUAUAUUCACUUGCAGUUCUAAAUCUGUCUUGCAACCAACUUAGAGGACGUAUUCCAGAAGGGUGGCAAUUCGAUACGUUUGAAAACAGCAGCUACGCUGGUAACUUUGGGCUGUGCGGACAUCCCUUGUCGAAAAAGUGUGAAUCUUAUGUUAGGACACAAGAAGAAGAUGACGAAGAUGAGGAUGAAUGUCACUUUUUCUGUGGUUUUACUUGGGAAGCGGUGGUGAUUGGAUAUGGGUGUGGAGUGGUGCCUGCAUUUAUCACUGGCUACCUGAUGUUGCUGGCACGGAAACCAAAAUGGUUUGCUGGAAUCAUUGGCAGGGAAUUGGGGCUCAAGAUCAGGAGGAUGGAGAUUAGAAUGCGAUACUAAAGGUUUGCUGUAAUCUGUAUCCCAUUCCCAGGUCUUGAAAAUUCUGUAAUAAUAUAUAGUAAUAUCUGCUCUCAUAUAAUUCUAUAUUUGCAGAUUCAGAUGGGACAAGCAGGAUCAGAUGCAUUGGAAUCAACCACUAGUACUUCAGCUGUUUUGUCAUUCUAAAUUUUACAUUUUACAAUAAAAGUCAAAAGAUACAAGUUAUGUAGUAUUGUUUUGUUCCAGCCUCAGGCUCUUCAUUUCUAAAACAUGUUUGCGGAUGCUUUACAAUGUACAAUUUACAAUAUAUCAAAGUUUUUAAUAUACACUACCAGAACUGGGUUACAUUGCAGUGUUGUCGCCAUUUUUCUGAAUUUCACUAGUUGGGAAGACUGUAUAAAUUAUGUUAGAGUCGCUGCUAUCAGUGAUCGCGUUCAACAACUUAUCUCAAACUGGUAAGAUUUACUAAAUUUUUAAUUUCACAAGCUGUUGAUAGAAUAGAAGAUGCCUCAGUUUAAGGAUCGAGAAUGUAUUAAUGAACUGUCCCAGCCCUGAGAAAUUCUCUUUGAUGGGGCUGCAGUUUCAAUAAAUCGCCUCUUGUACUCAGCCAUCAUACAGUGAACCACCGUCCGAUGGUCGAAAUUGGCGAAGCAUGAUGGCUUUAAAUCAGCCCAUAACCUGAUGGGGUGGCAUUUCUGUUCCCCAUUAGUACCAAUGCAGGGUGUCCCCUUCCAAAGCUACUCUGCAACAAUUUCCAACAUCUCGUAUUCACUUAACCCGUUCAGUAGACAACAAGGUUAGGAGCAAGAAUGAGUCGGUGUCUGGACAUGAGAUUAGGAAUACUAUUACCUCUGACUUCUGAGGCCCGUGACAGAUCGAAGAGGCAUGAAAGUUGGGGACAGGGGACGGCUGGUGCAUUGGAAUGAAAGUAAAAAACUUUUUCAGAGCCUGAUGCUCUCAAGGAUGCAGUCUAAUGAACAAGCGUAAUGAUGUCAUGUUAACUGUCAACCACCUAGUCAAAAUUACUUGAAAUGAUGAAAUUUAUGACAGUAAAUUUAUGAUGCUCUGAGUUUGUUGAUCAACCAAGCUAUGUUGUAGGCAGCUCUUAUCUGAUCUGCAAUCAAGUUAAUGAACCACUACCUCAGUUCAACAUUUUACAUUUUACAGCUCAGAAUAAAAGAUUACAUGUGUAUUAAUCUGAUCAUCAUUUGUUUGAUCAAUUUAGAAGUUCGGCUUUGUUUACUUCUAUCCCGGGCUCUUCAUUUCUAGAGCAUAUUUGUUGAUACUUUUUAUUGAACGGUUAAGAAUAUACCAUAGAUUUUUAUAUUCGGCGUAGAUGAUUUUAUGUCCUGAUUUCAUUCCAUUCAUGAACUAAUUAAAAAUUUGAAAGUGGGUCAUAUCUGGCAGUGAUGCCAGCCCUUCCUGACCUGCAUUUCAUGACCACAAACUCCAAUUCUGCCCAAAAAUUGCAGCUGUUUCGUAAUAUUUUUCUACGUGCUCUUUUGUUUGGACUUGUUUGCUGGACCAUGCAUAUGUUUUGAUACAUCUUUGUUGAUGUUAACACUCUUGUGUCAGUUACUGGACUCAUUGUUAGUAGCCCAUUCUUUACGGCAGACAUUGAAUUGGAUUUACUUGAAGAAAUGAAGGAUUAAGAAAGUUCAGAACAAUUUGUUGAUUAUUUCCUUCCCUAGAAACUGCACUCCAGCAUCAAAGUACCUUUCAAAGACUCCAGACAUCAUCUCUUGAUUAUCAAAGACUUGGUCUUGCAUAUACUGAUAUACCGUGAAUAUAGGUUUCUUUCAUUUCCUUGAAAUUGCAUUUUUUGAAGUAGCUUUCCAGACUCAUUCCCGUCACUUCUCAAAGUCUUAUUCCCCAUCAAUACAUACACAUAAUAUCACACCAAUUUGCUCAUGCUCAGAUGGGCUUUUCUUACAAACCACACAUGUUCACUUCUCAUAGUCUUAGUCCUCGUUAAUAUAUACAGAUAAUAUCCCACCAAUUUGCUGGUGCUACAAAUGGGCUUCUCCUACAAGUCUACAACUACACAUAAUCGGAGAAAAGUCUGUCAAAUGGAUCUUGAAAGACCCUUCUGCAUUGAUUAUCAAAGUAUAUUAUCUGUUAACAUAAAUGUAUUUUAUCAAAGUACUCUCUAAAUAAAAACUAGUAAUAGCAGUUACACAGUAAAAAUUUUUCCUCAAACAAUUACCACCUCAAAUGAGAUAGGCAACCUUAGAUUCUCCAAAAGUGCUUAUAUUGCAACCCUUGUGUAAUGACUAAUAACAGUCAUGAUUAGUAGACAGACCAUAAUUGCGAUGGUUCGAACUUUUUUACUUGAGCUGGAGAGAAGACUUUGAACUGCAGUGUUAGCUAGGAGUUUUUGCACCGUUCCUUUCCCUGUCUUGAAAUUGCAUUUCAGCUCCAAAAGUAGAUUUCAGAGACUGAUUCAUGCCAUCUUUUAAUUUUCAAUGGCAUAGUCGCGAUGACACUCUCACUUCUCACAUUGGAAAACUUUUACCAACACAAUGAAAUUUAUAAGAGUAAAAUGCAAAGCGGUGGUUAAAUUUAUAAGAGUUCUAUCGAAGUCUAGUUUACCUAAAUAACUGCAAAAUGGUUAGGGUUGUUCACGAACCGAGCCGAGCCGAGUUUUGACCGAACCGAGCCAAGCUUUAAUUUUUUUUCUGACGAGCCGAGCCGGGCCGAGCUUUUUUAUCGAACAAAAUUUGUGUUCAAGCUCGGCUCGUUAACUAACGAGCCGAACACGAGCUUGUUCGCGAACAAAUACAAGCCGAACCGAGUAGAAUCGAGUCGAGCCGAGCCAGAAAAAAAAUAAGAACAAACCGCUAGUUGACUCUUAAAAUAGCUAACCAAAUAAUUUUAUUUUUUUUUAAACUUUGUUUAUAUCACUAAAAUGUAUAUAUGUUAACAUCCAUACGGUUGGAUCGGUAAGAAAUAUUUUUUAAAAUAUUGAAACACUAAAUUAGGAUUAAACACUAGUUAGCAGUACUAUUUAACCUUCUACUUGACUGUUAAAAUAGCAAACCAUAUAAAAUUAUUAUUUUCCGAAAUUUUGGUUACAUCACUGAAAUAUAUAUAUAUUAAUUAUAUGUUGAAUUCUGAGUUCAAUAACAUAUAUAAAUUAUAAAAAAAACCCCGAAAAUAUUACAUUUUUUCGAGCUUUAACGAGCCGAGCUCGAGCCGAGCGAGCUCGAGUCGAGCUCGAGCCGAGCUCGAGCCGAACAUACUAAAAGCUCGGCUCGAGCUCGUUUACUUAACGAACAAUUUUUUGUGUUCGUCCUCGAGCUCGUUAACUUAACGAGCCGAGCCGAACGAGCUCUUAACGAGCCGAGCUCGAGCUUGUUCGCGAACAGCUCGGUUCGUUAAGCAGCCCUAAAAAUGGUGAAACAAACUAGGGCUUAGAAAAUGGUACAAUUUGCGGUUUUGUAUCUAUUGGGCAUCUAUUUUGGUGUGCUAGUCAACUUGUAUGGUUCUUAAAGUUUACAACUUGAAACAGUUAAUAUCAAAUGUCAAAGUGAAAAUAUGUGUAGUUUUAACUUCACAAUAUUUUCUUGGUGCGGGCUAUGUAAGUUAUCUUUUACAUGGUGAAUCAAGUUAUGAUACUCAGAAUCAAUUAUGUUUCACUUUCGUAUUUUCCACCUGGUCGUAAGAUUUGUAGUUUUCCUUCGCUAUUGUAAAGGUUGUGUUCUAUUAAGGGUGAUAUAUGCGCACCCUAAAUUAAUUUAUGCACACUUUACCUUCUGUUUCAUAUCAAAUUACCCUUGUCUUUUAUCAUUUCAACCAAAUAUUUUAUUAAUUCAAAGGGGUAAUUUAGUACAAACUAGAUGAAAGGUGUGCAUAAAUAAAUUUAGGGUGUGCAUAAAUCAGCACCCAAUGUAUUUAGUGAUUCCACUGAUGAUAAUGUUAAGCAAUUAACAGGUAUUAAAAUGCUUUCAUUAUAAUGCAACUUUAUACUCCCUUUAUCCCAUUUUAACUGAGGUAAAAAAAACAAUAUCUACACCCAUUAAAAAAAAUUCAAUUUUUAUAUCAAAUAAAAGUUUAGAUUCUAAAAUUUUAAUUGAUGAUAUAAAUUUUAUAAACAAUAAUUAUGUUUAUAUGUGAUUUUCUUAACAUUUCAAAAUACAUGUAAAAAGGUCAAAAGUAGUUAAAAUGGGACGGAGGGAGUAUAUUUUUAUUCAAACUCGAGUCUCCCGUGAGUGGAGCUCUUAAUAUCAUGCGAAGUUAAUAUUCUCCUAAAAUCUCAAAAUGUUAGAUAGAAUGACUUAUAAAAAAAUUGAAGAAAAGUGGAGUUUUAUUAUAAGUUUUAUCCGUGUUACAUACUUACAUUGAAUAUCUGGUAGUAACGCAAAAAAUUUGGUCUCCUCUAUGUAUUUUUGCUGGCUUGGUCGAAUCAGUUGGAUUGCUGGUAUUUGAAUAAUCUAAUUUUUUCAGAAAUAAGAAUUUAUUUCUUGAGAAAAGUACAUAAAACUACUAUACUUUUUUGGUCUCCUCUAUGUAUUGUUUUAUUUUAUAAGUCGUUUAAGGUAUUUUCACACAUAUUAAAAAACUUCAUUGUUGCAUAAAAAAGUAUUUAUUAGUCAUUUCUUUUUCAUUAUUAUCCUCAUUUAAUGUCUCUUUUCUCUCUUUUUCUAUUGACUCAUAAUAUUAAAUAAGGGUGAUAAAAGUCAUUAGAUAAUUUAAAUUAUUCUUGAAAAAAAAAAAAGAACGACCUAUAUUUAUGAAUAAUAAUAUUUUCUAAAAUGAACUAUAAAAAAACAGAUGGAGUACUGUAUAUCAAGUGGAGAAGCAAGACUAAAGUGCAGUACUCCUAAGCCCACAUUGUACGGCGGUAGUACAUUUGAUUUUAUUCGGGGAAAACCAUGUUUAUGGAUUAUCUCAUCUGAAAGACCCUAUCCAUCAUCUUCCGAUUCUCAGAGUCUUGGCCUUCCAUUCCAUGCACUGCUCUGCACGUGCUUCUGUUUGAGAUCAAAAUCACCUGCCUUAAAAAAUUUGUUUCUUUUGUAGUCUAAUCUCUGUCCCAAUCAAAUAUAUACCUUAACUGUGCACGUAUUUUGAGAUUUUAAUAAAAUUUUGUUGUAAAAUACUUUUUAAAAUUUUUUUUUUUGAAUAAAAAUUUAAACCUCAAAUUUUUAUUCAGUUAAGGAAAAUUUUAAAUAAUGUUUUGUAAUUAUACUUUAACGAAGCCUUAAAAAAUAUACCAAAAAACAGCGUAUACAAUUCAUCAGACGAGCAACCGCCAACAAGAAACACCACCGACAAUAAUAAACAAGAUUAGAAUGCAUAAUAUUCUGCAUUGGUCGAUAACUAUCAUUAUUAAUUUCUUCCUGCUGCACCACCGACAAUAAUAAACAAGAUUAGAAUGCAUAAUAUUCUGCAUUGAUCGAUAACUAUCAUUAUUAAUUUCUUCCUGCUGAGAAUUGAAACCACGCCCUCUGGCAAUUCCAAAAUGUUCCCUUUUAUAUUUAGCAAAAAAUAAUGAAUGGUGCUCCCAUUUUUUGACUAACCCAAAAACUCGAUGAUGGGCAAAAAUUGCACUAAUAUUAGAAUGAUGGUGUUUAGACAAGUUCUUCAUUUCAAAUUUUAAAUAUUGAAAUAAUUAGAAAUAUAAUAUAUAACUAUAUGACAAACACUCUAAUUCAGCAAGAAUCUUAUUUUUUGUAUCAAUUUUUCAAUAAUUUCAGGUGAAUGGUAAUUUAAUAUAUAAUCAAAUUUUAAAUAUUGUAUAGUUUUUGUUUUAUAUUUUAAUAAAUUUCAUAAUAGUGAGGAUAUGAGUACAUAUAUACAUCAACAGAAGGGUCGUUUGGGUAAACUUUAAAAAAGUGACUUCUUUCUUCAAAUAAAAAUGUGCACUAUAUUCCGUCAAAAAAAAUGUGCAGCAUUAGUAAGAGGUAAGUCUAGACUUAAAAGUGAUUAAAAUUUUUUAAGGAAAAGUAGAAGUUCUGAAAAUAAAAGUUAGAAAUUUUGGCUUCUUACAGGUGUUUCUGACUUUUUACAAAAUUAUAAGCCGACUUUCUUAGAAAAAGAAGGCGGAAGCUGGGGCAGCCAAACAAACACAUGAUAUGACUUGAUAUACAAAAAAAUUACAUUUAAAUUACGUUUAUAACACAAAUAAUCUCAAUUUAAAAAUGAUGAACAAAGAGAUAUGAGAUAUAUUGAAAAAUAAUUGAAAGCAACCCGUGUUUUGCACGGGUUAAAAAGCUAGUUCUAAUUAAAGGGAAAAAAGCCAUCGACUAAAAUUGAACACGGAUGGGAAUUAUAAGAAGCAUAAGCAAACAAACUUUUCUCUACAAUAAAAGGUGAUGGGUUGAAGUCAAGAAAACACCGAUUCAUCUUUGUACAAAGUUAAAAAUACUAACGGCUCUUUGCUUAUAGCACUACAAGAAAACUCAUUUUAAUGACAGAAAUUCUGUUAACAUGAUAAGGAUUUUCGUUGGUAAAUCACCGCCAAGGGAAUGAUAAUGAAAAUAAUUGGUUGGCAUAUAGUUGAUCGGGAAGUUCAUGCUAACGGAACAAAUUCGUUGCUAAAUUGGUUUCUUUUGAUAAAAGAUGAUGGGUUGAAGUCAAGAAAACAAACACAACACUUUUACAGAAAGUUAAAAAUACUAACCGCUCUGUGCUUAAAGAGUGGCAUAAGUAAGCAGUUCUCCGUGUGCUAGAAAUUCCUUCAUUUCUUGCUCUUCUAAGCCAACAACAGCUCUAAUACCAUCAUUCGCGGUAUCCAUCAGAGUGAUGACAUCAACCAUCGGAGUGUCCACAAGCACAGCUUUAACCGGCUUUCCCCACCCGAAAUCCAUGAUAUCAUAUAGCGGGAAAUUACACAUGCUUGUAAUAACGUAGAACCUGUACUUGUGUUUUGUGAACUCAAGAAACUCAGUCUCCAUUUCGUGUCCUUCCAUACUCUUGAUUCCUUUUAGCUGUUCCCUCUCUUUCCUCAUUCGUGCUACCAACGUUCUGUACUUUUUGUCCGCCUCUGUGGUCGCUACAAUGUGGUUUAGAAUCUGGAAAUUCCCCACAGUUGUUUCUUGCAGUGGCGGAUCAAUCAUAUGCCUCACAUUGACAGCCCGCAUUAAAACGGAUCCAUUAUGCACUCCAGCAUUAGUCCUAUCUGCCACGCUUACAAGACAUCUGUAAAGGAGUGCAGUCAGAAGCUCGUUGCGGGUGUAUUUUUGAUCUUCCACUACUCCAUCCAGCUUAUCCUCGUUAUUCACCACAAUCUUCAGUUCUGCUAGCUUUGUGUUGGGAAACACUAAUUCCUUCGUCGUCCAAUUCUUAUCUGGAAAUAUGAUGGUUUCGAUGGCAUUAAUAUCAUAGGAUAGAGGCAGCAGAGCAUUCACCAGAACGGGACAGAGAUGUAACAGUUUUCGGUGAUCACCAGAAUGGAGUGACAGAGUGGCCCAAUACCUUAAAAGUGUGCAGGUAGUCAGAGCAUCACCCAGAAGGUGAGAAAGGCAAAAAAUUGCUGACGAAAAAAUGUACAAACUAGUAAAAAAUGAAAAUCACUUCUGGUAGUAAAAAAAGUCUAAACUAGAACCUAGUUCAGCCCAAUAUUUUAGCAUUAGUUUUAACUGCAAAAAUCACUAAUUUGUACAUUAUUAAUGAUUAAUUUUUAAAUAGAAAUAUCACAAAUAAAUAAAUAAAUAAAUAUAAUUAAAAAAUUAAAAAAAUCAUCAAUUUUCACCAAAAAGUCGUAUUUUCCCAACUAGUUCUACCAUGGAACCAUAUAUAUUUGUCCAAAGUGAUUUACUGUUCAAUAUCAAGUCUAAAAAAAUACACAUAAAACACUACCUUAAAAGUGUGCAGGUAGUAAGAGCAUCCCCAAGAAGGUGAGAAAUGCUAACUGCUACAGCCAUCCCUCCACAAUCGAAACGGUUGAGUUGCACAUACAUUAUAUUACCCGAAUGCUUCUCAGAAAACUGAUUCCGAAUUGUGCAAGGUGGAAACAGAUGGCCUAAUCCGUCUUCUUCCUUGACUGCAGCUCUAUCCUGAACCUCCGACAUAUUGCAUCCGAUUUGAGCCUCGAUAAAUUGAACGCCUUCAUCGUUACAAUCGACGUACGAUCCAGAGCAUAUCCUUCCUGCAAAUGGAUAGUACUUGGACAGUGUCUCCGACAAAGACUUCUUCAGUAGAUCUGAUGCAUUAUCAGGGACCCGUUCACGAAUGGGAUCAGAGUUGUUUUUGGGAUAGAAAAAAAUCAGUGGAAUAUAAAAAUUUGGAACCAUGCGAUCAUGUAAAGGAAUAUUGUAUCGUUUGAGGUUCGAGGGAGUUGGAGAAGCUGGUUUAAUGCUGCAGGAAGAUCUUGAGAUUACAUGCAGCUGCCUUCUAAAUACUAAUGACAACCUCAUCAAUCCUUUAAACGUCAUUUUUAACUUGCCAAACCAAACUUUGAUGUGUAUAUCAGAUAUGAGCUGGUUUAAUUGGGGUAUUUAUACAGAUUUAUAAGAGAAGAUUACAGCCCAUGCCAAAAGACUUGGCGGUUGAAGCUGGUGAGAUGAUAUAACUCCUGAUUAACCGGAAAUCAGGGAUUAAUCGUAAGGAUUAAUCAGAGUGAAAAUCGGUUUUAUUUUGAAUAUUAAAAUAUUAUUUUUAAUAUUUAUUUAUUACUAUAUUAAUUAUUUAAUAAUAAAUAUAUUUAAUAUAUCAUAAAUUUUAUAAUUGUUCAUAUUUAAAGUAAAUAAGUAGUAUUCAAUUUUAAUAAUUUAUUAUAUAUAUAUACUUCGCUUGAGAAAAAUUUAUACGGAUUAAUCGAAUUUUAAAAAUCGAAUCAAUCGGCCAUCUUGCAGGAGAUUAAUUGGGAAUUCAUCGAUAAAAUCAAUAAUUUUUAAAACACUGCCGGCAACUGUAAGUAUAAAAAAUAGGAAUAAACAAAGAGCACUGGGAACCACAUGCAAGUGAUUGUUUACUGCUGGUUCUACCGGUCUCUGCCAAAAACUCUGAUAAAUACCAGACAAAACUACCAGUCUCCCUUGCAUAAAAUAUCUAAGCUACAUAGGAAUCUUUUUAUGUCUAUGCUACAAGACAUUUUUUAUGACUUGGAUCCCAUUUCAUUUGUGGCAUUGCAGCAGUUCAUUCUUUAUUUCCUGAAUUUUCUCUAUAAUCUUUACCUCAUGCCUCUUAAUUUUUAUUCAAGAUAAUUUUUUUUGCAAAUUACUGUGGUUCUGCUUUUCUUAUCUUUUCUUCUUUUGGCUUUGCUGGUACUUUUCCUUUGCCAGUUUAAUUUUACCUUCAACUUUGAGAAAUAAAUGUAUUUAGUGAUUUCACUGAUGAUAAUGUUAAGCAAUAGGGUUCAAAAUGCUUUCAUUAUAAUGCUACUUUAUUUAUUUAUAUUCAAACUCGAGUCUCCAGCAAGGGGAGCUCUUAAUACCAUGUGAAGUUAAUAUUCUCCUAAAAUCUCAAUAUGUUAGAAAGAGUAAUUUUUUAUUAAAAAAAUUGAAGAAAAGUAGAGUUUUAUUAUAAAUUUUAUACGUGUUACAUUGAAUAUUUAAAAGUAAAGCAAAAAAUUUGGUCUCCGCUAUGUAUAUUUGCUGGCUUCGUCGAAUCAGUUGGAUCGCUGGUAUUGGUGAGAGCGUGAGACAUUAAAGGGAGAUGGGCUGAUCAGAUCAGCUUGGUUGAUAAUGUCUAAAUCCAAUUCCUUAACAAGGAAUUGAUUUUACUCAUGAAAAAAGAGUGAUUAAAAAAAAAGUUUGCAGAAAGUCAAGACUCAAACCCCAUUCUUAUCAAGUCUUCCACUACUCUAUGCACAAUUCAAAAUACACAAAGACCAACCAAAAAGUUCUUGGAAGUAAUCAAAUAAAUGAUACUCUCCAAGUUCUUGUUCUCAAAUCAAACAAGUUUUAUGGUCUUAUAAACACGAGUUCCAAGAUUGUACACCCAUUUCCUAGCUUGACUGCUUGAGAAUCAUUGAUCUUUCGUACAAUGAGUUUUCAGGUGCACUGCCAGAAGAAUAUUUCAGAAACUUUAAGGCUAUGAUGAAUGCGGAAGUGAAUAAGAUAUAUCGUAGCUAUAUGGAGCAAGAUUAUUACACUGAUUCCACAGCUCUAGUGAUUAAAGGCAUGGAAAUUAAUUUAAAAAGAAUAUUGACUGUGUUCACAACUAUUGAUGUAUCAAAAAACAAUUUUGAUGGGGAGAUAGCUGAAUACUUUGGAAAUCUGGUAUCACUCAGAUUUCUUAAUCUUUCUCACAAUUAUCUCACAGGCCAUAUACCACGCUCGAUUGGAAAAUUGACUGUGCUGGAGUCACUAGGCCUCUCAUCCAACCAACUUGAAGGAGAAAUUCCUCAGCAGCUCACUAGUGUAUAUUCACUUGCAGUUCUCAAUCUGUCUUGCAACCAACUUAGAGGACGUAUUCCAGAAGGGUGGCAAUUCGAUACGUUUGAAAACAGCAGCUACGCUGGUAACUUUGGGCUGUGCGGACAUCCCUUGUCGAACAAGUGUGAAUCUUAUGUUAGGACACAAAAAGAAGACGAAGAAGAUGAGGAUGAAUGUCACUUUUUCUGUGGUUUUACUUGGGAAGCAGUGGUGAUUGGAUAUGGGUGUGGAGUGGUGCCUGCAUUUAUCACUGGGUUACUGAUGUUGCUGGCACGGAAGCCAAAAUGGUUCGAUGGAAUCAUUGGCAGGGAAUUGGGGCUCAAGAUCAGGAGGAUGGAGAUUAGAAUGCGAUACUAAAGGUUUGCUGUAAUCUGUAUCCCAUUCCCAGGUCUUGAAUAUUCUGUAAUAAUAUAGUAAUAUGUGCUCUCAUAUAAUUCUAUAUUUGCAGAUUGGAGAGGCAUGAACAUUUUGGCAUGUAAGUUGAUGGGACAAGCAGGUUUCAGAUUCAUUGGAAUCAACCACUACUUCAGCUGUUUUGCAUCUUUUGUGAUUUUAAAUUUUACAUUUUACAAUAAAAGUAAAAAAGAUACAAGCUCCAUGGACAAGUUUUGUAUUGUGUAGUUCCAGCCUCAGGCUGAUGGUUUAUAAUGUACAAUUUACAAUAUAUCACAAUUUGUAAUAUACAGUACCAGAUGAUUUUAUGGCCAAAUUAUCCUUAAUCGCUUUCAUGAACUAAUGGAAAUUUGUAAAAGCGGGUCACAUUUGCAGUGAUGCCGCUAUUUUUCCUGAAUAUUCCUAGUUCUGAAGAUUGUCUAAAUCAUGUUAGUAGCUGCCAUCAGUGAAUGCAUUCAACGGCUUACUGAAACUGGUAGAGAUACUAAAUUCACAAGUUAUUGAUAGAAUAGAAGAUGACAGAGUGUCCAUGCGUCAGUUUAAGGAUCGAGAUGUGUAGCCGUGACUUGUAUUUUAAAAUUGCACAAGAUGCUUUACAAUGGUAGCAGAGGGCUGCGGAUUUAUUGGGUUAGUUGGAAGCACUCAAGUCGAAUUGGUUGUAGCAGAGCAAGAAGCUGAGCACGACCAUAAGAAUUUGAACUCUGAGGCUAAUUUGACUCUACUUGUAAGCCUUCCACUAGACAGCAAGGUUAGGAGAAAGAUUGAGUCGAUGUAAGCCUUCCUCUGACGCCUGUGACAGAUCAAUGAGGCAUGAAAGUUGGGAACAGGGGACGAUUGGCGUAUUGGAAUGGAAGUGGAAAACUUCUUCAGAGCCUGAUGCUCUCGGAGAUACAAUCUAAUGAAAAAGCGUAAUGAUGAUCAUGACUCCGCCCUUGCUCUAAAUCAGUAAGAUCAACCUCUCUACACAAUUCACUAAUACCACCUCUUUAUAACAUUCUCACUCCUAGGUGAUGAAUAAAGUAUCAAGAAACAUAUUUUGUAUAAUGAAUUAUAUUUUUUAUUAUAUUCCUUUUUUUAAAAUAUAUUGCGUAUUACACUGUUUAUUAAUUCUAUUUGAAGCAAUUAAUUAAUUUUUAGCCGUAAUUUAACUUUCAAGGUAGCAUUAUCAGCAUGAGGAAUAGGCAGAGCUUCCAGAUGCUCUCUUCUGAUAGAUAUCAUUCAGCACUUGCUCUGAGUUUGUUGAUCAACCACGCGAUGUUGUAGGCAGCUCCUAUCUUAUCUGCAAUCAAGUUAAUGAACCACUACCUCAGUUGUUAAGCAUCUUUCAACAUUUCACAUUUUUGAGCAUUUAAUUAAUUAGUCAUCAGUCUUGUAUUUAGCUUGAUCGAACAUAAUUGUUCUCUUCAAUUUCUUUGCCUACUUGUCGACGUGUUUAUGUAGCGUGUCUCUACUCUGUAGCUUACACAUCAUUGAUUCAUGUUAUUUUCCCCUUAGGAACUUGAGAGACAUUUGGCAUCAAAAGAAGCUUCUCUCCCGCAAGAACCAUUUUCCCCUUAUGAACAUUUGACAUUUUGGUGUUGCUGAGAGCGCAGCGACUUUUGAUGAACUCGGCCUGUCUGGCAGACAGGAGGCCUUGUUUCUGGAGUUAAUAUAGCGGAUCUCGAAGAGUUUACCCAGAUGGACCAACUUUGUUUGUUAGUUGGAUGUAAAAGUUGUUUAGAGACGGGUAUUUUGUCGAAGUUUGUAUCUAUUGGGUAUUUCGUCUUUUAGUCAGACUAUGGCUCAUACAGUUUCAUACAGUUUGAAGUUGAUAUCAAAUCUUAGAUUAAAUUACUGAACAUUGUUUCUUGAAUUCGAUAUCGAAUUUUAAACGAAAAUAUGUUCAGUUCUAAUUUAAAAGUUAUGCAAAUUACAUUAAUAAUAUGUGGCCCUGUUUGUUUACCAAAAGCAGAAGCUGCUUCUGGCUUCUGCUUUUCUUGACCCGUUUGUGUAAAGAAGCAGAAGCACUUUUAAUAAACUGAGAAUCCUAACUUCUCUCUCACAGCUUCGGCUUCUUUUCCAAACACUUUAUUCACUUAUUUACUUCUCACUUCUGCUCCACUUCUCUAGUUUAAGCAAGAAGUCACUUCUUUUAAGCUUGCCCAAACGGCCCCAUAAUCUAUUUUGAGUCUCUUGGUCUUCGGUCUUCUAUUGCAGCAUAUCAUGCACAUCUCAAAUGAUUGAAAAUGAACUCUCUCCAAAAGACAAGGGGGUCUGUUGAAGUAGACCUGGAAUUGAUUUUACUUGAAGAAACAAUAAUAGGUCACCUUUUAAAGUUUUGGUCUUUGUCUUUUAUCUCUUAAAGUCUUUGUCGUUUACAUCUCAUACAAUUUGCUAUCGUAUUUAACACUUCACACAAUUCCAUGCUAUCGUAUUGAACACUUCACACAAUUCCAUAAUAUUGAAGAUUUUUGGCUUGAAAUAUUCUAGAGAAUAAGGUUGUACAUAAAAUUCAAUAAUUUAUUUCCUUUCCUUCAAUAUUACAACUCAUAUAUUUGUUGCCAAUGACUCAUUCAAUUCGCAUCAAUUAUUAUCAUCUUCACUUUAUCAAAGAGUCUUGCUCUUCGUCCUUUACAUGCUUUUAUUACGAUCCCCAUGUGCUUUGAAAAUACUUGUGUUAUAGUCCACAUCAAUCAAUACUCCUUAUUAAUAAGCGAAACCACAUUUCAGUGGAACAUCGGUACUAAAAGUACCAAAUUUGAUCAUCUUAUAUCAUAUUUAAUUAUUAUUAUUAUUAUACUCCUAUUAAAAGUAUUAUAUUAUCCUUAGGAGAUUUAUAUUGGUCAGGAAUUUAUAAUAUUUUAAGAUAUUAUAAUUAAAGACGACUUCUAUAAUUAUUAGGAUUUUAUAAUUAAUAUAAACUUCUUACUUAAUAAUGAUAAUCAUUAAACUAUUUUGAAAAAAUGUCGUAUUGGUUAGAAUUUUAUAAUUUUAUUAUAUUAUAAUGAAAAGACUUUCAUAUUUAUUAUGAUUUUAUAAGUAAAUACUUUAAUAUUGGUUAGGAUUUUAUAAUUAUCUUGAUAUUGAUUAGAAUUUUAUAAUUAAAGACUUCAAUGUUAUACUAUUAAAAAAAGAUUUCUAACGUUGUUAGGAUUUUGGAAUGCAACAGUUAUACCACCAAUAAAAUUAUUUAUUUUAAAUUCUUUAAACUCAAAUAAUUUAAUUUAUGAAACAACUCUGUAAAACUCCUAUCAUAUUUCAGCAUUCAAAUAAAUAAAGAUUUAUAUUGAUAUUACUUUUUAUUAAUAUGCCAUAUUUUUCUUUAGUGGAAGAACAUGAGUACCAAAUACCGAAUUAUCAAAAUUUGGUUAAUAUCAUGUAAUUUUAACAUUGUCGUACUCUUCACAAUAUAAUAAUAUUAUUAUAAUAACGGAAAGGGGGUGGUAGCACUAUCAUGAUAAAUGCAAAUUCCAAUGAGAAUAAAAUUACUGUGAAAAUUUUAUAAAUAAAUUAAUUUUAAAUUUAUUUAAUUUAUAAUCUCUAUUAUAGUUUUAUAUUAAUUUGAAAAAUAUCUAUUAAUAUUGAAUAUACAAGAACUUCAAUUAGUGUUACACUUAAUAAUAUUUAUUAGACGUCUAAAAUAACUAUGAACUAAAAAAAUUAAGUUUUAUUAAAAAUGGUUGAAUUUUUUUUCCAUCUAUUUAGAAUAAAAACAACAUAAUAAUUUUAUUAAAAUGAAACUUACCAUUUUAAAAUAAAUUCAUAUAAUAACAUAUAUCCUGAGAAUGUUUAUUUUGAAAAAUAAAACUUAAACAUAAUUAAAUAUUAAUAUGUUAAUGCAUAAUAAGUUUUGUAUCUCAACAAUAAUAAUUUAAAUAACUAUAUCAAAAAUAUUAUAAUUCCAAUAAAUAAUAAACUUAAAAAAUUUAUAUAAUCCCGUGCUUGGCACNCAAAAAUAUUAUAAUUCCAAUAAAUAAUAAACUUAAAAAAUUUAUAUAAUCCCGUGCUUGGCACGGGUUAUAGACUAGUAUUGAUAAAUAGACAAAUUACAAUAUUUAGUUCAUUAAUGAAGAGAUAAGACAUUCAUGUGUAUGUAUUUGAAAAAUAAAAUAUUAUGAAGCUAAAUGAAUAAACACUUCUGAAAAGUAAAACCCGUUUCUGGUCCAUUUUGUAGCUUGAAGAAAUGAAGCAGAAGUCAAGAUUUCCUUGAAGAAACAAAAUUUUAUAAAAGUUAAAAACAAUUCGAUAAUUAUUGUCUUUUUAAAAAACGGAGCACGCAACACUCUUUUAUAUCAUAUUUCAAUUCUUAGAGUCUUCCUUCUACUACUCCAAAAGUGGUUCUAUUAUAGGCCACAUAUUAAUAGAUCGAUACAAAUUUAUUAAAAAGAUCCUUAUUUUCAACAAUCAAUAUCAGUUUGACUACAAAUUUAUCUGAAAUGACCCUUGUUAAUGGACUCUAGCUUAUAGGGUCAAACUUGGCUAUACAUGCCUCGGAGAAAAUUCACCAGUUCGUAGAAGAGACCUUUCUGCUAUCAACUCUAUGAAAAAUGCAGCACUUAUCAUCUAAAUAAAAAUCAGUAAGACUAUCUUAGAUUCUCUGAAGUGUUUAUAUUGCAGCCGCUUGUAUUGAAUACACACAUAAAUAACCACACAUAAUCAGCAAGGUUCGAAUUUUUUUGGUUUAACCAUAUCACCAACAUGAAGAAAAGACUUUCAAGCGUCAUAAUAGCUAAGAGCUUUUAUUUUCAGGAUAACCCCGGUCUAGAUUAUUAUAAAAAACUUGUUUAUAUGGAGACAUAAUAAAGGUCCCAGAAUUUUUUACUCUUCAAGAUUUCCGUUUCUAGCCAAAUUUUUUGACCAUAAAUAAUAUAUUGGUUUUACCUGAAAACAAAAUUUAAAGAAAAUUCAAAUUUUUUUAUUACUUCUUUUCUUUUAUUAUUACUUCUUUUCUUUUAUUUUGAAAUUGCAAAACAGCUCAAAGUAGUUCUAAAAGAAUCAUUCUCCCCGCUAGAAUCAGUUACAAUUAAGGUUGACAAGAUGUUUUAGCUGCGAGUUCUUCAAAUUAUUGCUCGUAAGGUCCACGACAGCUUAGAUAGUCACCAAAACUUUGGCCUGUGGAUUAAGUUGAUGAAAUCUAGUGUAUUAGAAUCAAUGACAGCACUAUUUUAUGGGAUUGAUGCUCACUCUUCAUAUUAUGUGUUUUUCUAAUGUGUGUGUCCAAAUACACACAAUAAACACUAAAUUUGAUAAAAAAUCGUAAUAUUAGUCAUUCCGCUCAUAAAUUUCAAGUGGAGAAGAAAGAGUUUCUCAAAAAAAAGUGGAGAAGAAAGAGCAUCGUGAUUGUCAUUGUACCCUUAAAAUUUGUUCGAUUAGGUUUUUUACAUAGUUUGCGCGUGGUCAUCUGGGUAUGCCUUCAUUAUAUUAAGCCAAUCUAGUAAUUCCAUAUUAAACAAGUUUAAAAUUUUCAAAUUUUGAUCUUAAUAAAAUUGAAAAAAUAGUGAACUUUUUCUUAUUUAUGAUAUUAACAAAUCUCUUACUUUUUUAUUACUGUAUUCAACUAAAUAUUUUUUACAAACCCUCAUAAAUGCAUCACAUCAGUUAUGAAAUUUAAAACAAAUAUAUCCAAUUUCUUCGAGAAAGAUGGUUGUAUAAUUUUUAAUUAAAAAAUUUAAUUAUUUUUAUUUUUAACAUAAUUUACAACUAAAAAAAUAUUAUAUGUUCACUGCUUUGUAAUAUAAUUAAAUAUAUCUUAAAUACAGUUUUUCCUAUAUAUAUGCUAACCUCGAGAGACGUUGAAGAUCAUCCCAAACAAAAUUUGAAAGGGAAAAUGAAAAUGAGGAAUUGCAACCUCUGUUUUUUCACCAUCAGUAUGAUGCUCAUCUUCUUGCAGUUGCAGCACCACCUGGUGGCUUGUUCAUUAAGCCCCCACUUGCAGAAACUUGCCUUGUUCCACUUUAACCAAACCUUCACAAUCACUCCUGGGGAUUGCGAGUAUUAUUCCUACAAAGACGAAGAAUUUUACGAAAUUCCUUCACGGGCAAAGACAAAGAACUGGAGCAUGAGUUCUGAUCACUGCACAUGGGAUGGAGUUAGCUGCGACGACAAGACGGGGGACGUAAUUGGACUGGAUUUAACUUGCGGUCAGCUGGUAGGAGCCAUACACUCAAACAGCACUCUUUUCCAACUCUCUCAUCUUCGCUUCCUCGACCUUUCUUACAAUGACUUUUCCCUCUCCGAUCAGUUCCCUCAGGAAUUUGGCUUCUUUGCAAAAGGAUUGACGCAUCUCAACCUCUCUCGUACUGGAUUAUCAGGGAGAGUUACCUCAGGAAUCUCUCAUUUGCAUAAACUGGUCUCACUUGAUCUCAGUGAGAACUUUGAAGCUGAACUUGAAGCAGAAGUGUUUAAAUCACUAUUGCAGAAUUUAACGCAUCUCAGAGUGCUUAAUCUUCAUGAAGUUAACAUCCCAUCUGUUUUGCCGGUGAAUAUCUCUACUUCUCUAAGAGUUCUUCAAUUGUCGUAUACUCAUAUACACGGAGUAGUACCGCAAGAAGUUUUCCACCUUCCCAACUUGGAAUUACUUGAUUUAUCAAAUAAUCACGACCUGAGAGCUACAUUAUCCAAAGUUAAGUGGGGAAGUAAAGCUACUCUCCAAUACCUUCAUCUUUCAUACAUCAACAUAGAUGGAGGUAUACCUGACUCAAUAGGCUUUUUGGAGUCAUUAGUCAGUUUAGAUCUGCUCGACUGUAAUUUGUCUGGGACGAUGCCAAGAUCCAUUGGACACCUCGUUCAACUUACUCACUUGGACCUCUCUUUUAAUAAUCUCAAUGGCCCAAUUCUAACUUUUUUUACAAACCUUACUGACUUAAGAUAUAUGUCCCUUGGGCUUAACAAUUUUACUGGUCCGUUUCCCUCUUUUCUUGCCCACUCUAGUAAACUAGUUGAGUUGUAUCUUUAUGGUAAUAGGUUUACUGGAUCCGUACCUCGUUCGUUGUUUCACCAUCCAUCGUUAGAGUUCUUGAAUUUGGCAUAUAAUGCAUUCACAGGUCAACUCCAUGAAUUUGAUUCUUCUCGAUCUCGGCUGCAAUCUUUUUCUUGUUCCAGCAAUUUACUCUAUGGAUCCAUUCCUCAUUCAUUUUCUCAACUUGUGAAUCUCACUGAACUAGACUUUUCAUCAAACAGUUUCAGCGGGGUUUUGGAUUUGGAAAUGUUUUCAGGCCUCGGAUUUCUAAAACGUCUUGAUCUUUCUCAUAACAGUCUUUCAGUGAGAAGUACAAUUACGGACACUCUCCCUCCCAAUCUUUACCACUUGGACUUGUCAUCAUGUAACAUGAAAGAGUUUCCUCACUUUUCAAGAGAUGCACACAUCUUCCUGGAUUUUGUAGACCUAUCAAACAAUGAAAUUGAAGGGGAAAUUCCACACUGGAUUGGGUCGAUAGGGAGGUACUCUGUCUACUAUCACAUCCCCUAUCUGAAUCUUUCUCACAACAAACUAAUAGGCGGUCUUGAGCAAUUGCCUUGGGGUCAUAUUAGGUUUCUUGAUCUCCAAUACAAUAAGCUGAAUGGAUCAUUGCCCACCUUGAUGUGUAAUUCCAGCUCUCUUUAUAUUCUAAAUCUCUCUCACAACAAUUUGAGUGGUGUACUACCCAGUUGUCCUACAAAUUUGACUCGUCUUUCAGUGUUGGAUCUGCGGAGGAAUAAAAUUCAGGGAAACAUUCCAGCAACCUUGUCAAAUUUCCGUAACCUGGAAACUAUUAAUUUGAAUGGAAACCGAUUACAAGGAAGCAUUCCUUCUUCUUUUGCUGAAUUUGAUUCUUUAGCCAUUCUUGAUCUUGGAAAUAAUAAGAUAAAUGAUACAUUCCCCCGGUGUUUGGAAGCUCUUCCAAAUCUUCAAGUUCUUGUUCUCAAAUCAAACAAGUUUUAUGGUCUUAUAAACACUAGUUCUAAGAUUGUAUACCCAUUUCCUAGAUUGAGAAUCAUUGAUCUGUCGGACAAUGAGUUUUCCGGUCCACUGCCAGCGAAAUACUUCAGAAACUUCAAGGCUAUGAUGAAUAGUGAUGUAAGCAAAAUAGAUCGCAGUUAUAUGAAUUAUAGUUCCUAUUACAGUGAUUCCACGACUCUGGUGAUUAAAGGAGUAGACAUGGAGUUGGUAAAGAUAUUAACUAUUUUUACAACCAUGGAUGUCUCAAGGAACCAUUUUGAAGGGGAGAUUGUAGAAUCAAUUGGAAAUCUGGUGUCACUUAGACUUCUCAAUUUAUCUCACAAUCAUCUCAGAGGCCGCAUACCAUUCAUGAUUGGAAAUUUGUCAAUGCUGGAAUCACUAGACCUCUCAUUCAACCAACUUGAAGGAGAAAUUCCGCAACAGCUCACCAGUAUAUAUACACUUGAACGUCUUAAUCUGUCAUGCAACCAACUCAGUGGUCGUAUUCCACAAGGUUCUCAGUUUAAUACAUUUGAUAAUGAUAGCUAUGCUGGUAACUUGGGGCUGUGUGGAAAUCCAUUGUCCAAAAAGUGUGAACCUGAUAUUGUGGAGAAAGAAAGUGACGAAGAUGAGGAUGAUGAUUACUUCUUUAGUGGAUUUACUUGGGAAGCGGUGGUGAUUGGAUAUGGGUGUGGAGUGGUGCCUGCAUUUAUCACUGGCUACCUGAUGUUGUUGGCACGGAAACCAAAAUGGUUUGCUGGAAUCAUUGGCAGGGAAUUGGGCCUGAAGAUCAGGAGGAUGGAGAUUAGAAUGCGAUAACUAAAGGUUUGCUGUAAUCUAUAUCCCAUUUGUAGGUCUUCAAUAUUCAGUAAUAAUAUAGUAAUAUCUGCUAUCAUAUAAUUCUAUAUUUGCAGAUUGGAGAGGCAUGAACAUUUUGGCAUGUAAGUUGAUGGGACAAGCAGGAUUCAGAUGCACAUGAAUCAACUACUUCGGUGUUGUAGGCAGCUAGGUUAAUAAACCACUACUUGAGCUGUUAAGCAUCUUUGGUCAUUUUAAAUAUAAAUUGUACAAUAAAAGAUACUUACUCUGCACAUAUUCUAAGUUCCAUAUACAAGUUCUGUAUUGUUUAGUUACUCUGCACAAACUCUAAGUUAGUUUCAACCACUGGGGUGUAAGCAGCCAAGUUAAUAAACCAGCAGUUUCUGUAGCUUUCACAACGUUGCUUCAUAUUAUUUUCCCCCUUGUUAGAUGAGCAAUAUAUUUGUGGAAUGGAUGUACCUGAAUUUGGUAUCCGAAGCUUAGUUAUAGAAAUUGUAGAUCAGCUAGUUUGCAACUUACUGGAAUGCUUUCCAUUGGACUUGAUUUACUCGUAGAGAAGCAGCACGCAAUGUUAAGGAAGGCCUGAUACAUAAUGUAUUUAAGAUAAUGUUUUGCAUCAAUUAUUACAAAAAGCUACUACUUUAAAUUGAUGAACAUUUACUAUAGCAGUACUGUGGUAUUAAAGUGAGUACUAAUAUUAGUGGCGGAGGCAGAACACAAUGUUAGGGGGGCACUUUUUAAUUUUUAACAUUCUAGGGGCAAUUUUUAACAUUCCAGGGGACACAAAAAAUAAUAUUUUGUAGAUUAAUAUUAUCAAAUAGAGUUAAGUUCUAUGGAGUACAUAAAAACAUUAGAGUAUUGGAGUACAAAUCAUAAUUUUUUUUAGUUUGAUUCUAUAUAAUAUCUUUGAAUAUCCAAAUUUUGAUAUAAUCUAUCAUUUAUAAGUUGUGUUGCACAUAAUUGUCAAUUAAUCAUUAAUAUCUUUCAACUUUAACAAAGAUUAAGAUUAUUGUUCUGCUUAUUAGUUAUAUUGCAGAACAUAGAGUCCUAUGAUUUAUAAAAGUAAUUAUUCUACCAUUUGAUCAUGAUGUUUAUGUUGCAGAACAUAAUGUGCAGGUUGUCAAAUAUUUACAAAUAUUAUUGGACAAAAAAAUUGAAAUUUAGAUGACUAAAUUACAUUUUAUCAAACUUUGUACUCCAAUACUCCAAUUUUUUUUUGUACUCCAUAGAACUUAACUCUUAUCAAAUAUAUGGAUCUUAUAUAAAAACAUACACAUUUUUCUGAAACUUAUGAGGGCAUGGGCACCCAGAGGCCCCCAUGUCCCUCCGCCUCUGCUAAUAUAAGAUGUUAGUCGAGUUCGAAGAAGUUUUGGAAUUCUUUUUAUUGAGAGUUUUUGCAAAACGUGGUUAGGAAAUUGAGAAUUUUGAGUUUUAAAAUUAGCUGUAAAAAAUAAUCGGUCAAUUGUAUUAGAUAUUACAUGCAUUUGAGUUUUAAAAUUAGGUGUAAAAAAUAAUGGGUCAACUGCAACAGAAAUGAAUUGGUUUGGUUUCACCCGGAAGAGUUCUGCACUUCACACUCUAGAUUCCAGAAAUAAAAAAAUUCAAAUAUAAAAUGUCAAAUAUUUUAGUUUAUACUCCCUCCGUCCAUUUUAGAUUUUUAGUUGUCACUGCCGGUCAAAUUGACCAAAAUUUGACUAAAAUUUAUUAAUAUUUUAUUAAUUGAAAAAAUAAAAAAAUUAUGUUACCACAAAUUACUUUCAAUCUACAUGAAAUUUUCAAUUUUUUAAAAUAAUGAAGAAGUAACUUGUAAUCUUUGAUCAAAAAUUAGUUAAUUUGACAUAAAAAAAAAAUUGUUACAACUAAAAUGGACCAAGGAAGUACAUAAGAUUUGCUAGUUACCUGCUUACCUUCACUCCUUAUGUCUUAAGCCACUCUUUAUUAUUUUUGAUUACAUAAUAAAUAUGUUUAAACUUUUAACUUUUUAUAUUUAAUAAAUUUAUAUAAUUUAAUUAUUAAAUUUUUUGAUUUGUAUUAAGUUUAAUUUAUAGAUACAUUUAUAUCAAAAUUACUAAAAUCAAUCAAAAUUUUAAUAUUUUGAUUCAGUAACCAGAAUAUAAAUAUAUUUAACUUUUGAAAUGAUAUAUAAAUAGUUUAUGAUUAAAAAAAAUUAAUAAGUAACUUGCACAAUUUCUCUUAAUUACAGUAAUAAAUCUCUUAUUAGUACUUUCAACUAAAUAUUUCUCCCAAACACUUAUAAUUUAUGUCCAAUUUUCAUAUUAUUUCUUUUAGAAAGAUUGUUGUAUUAUUUUAAAUUUUAGUAAUUAAAUCAGUUUUAUUUUUAUGAAUUCCAAAUUUAAAAACCUUAAUAUUUUUGUCACGCUACUUCUUAUUUGUAAUACAAAUUAUUUCUAGAUAAAAUUAAUAUAUUAAUAAAUAUAGUGUAAUUAACUACAUAUAAUACAUUGAAAUUAAAUAAAUAUGCUCUGUACAUUUUUUUCACAUGCAAAAAACUGCACUGUUUCGGUUUAAGCAAAGCUUGAUAAUCAGGACUCCUAGCUGGAAUGGCGAGUAUUAUUCCUACGAAGAAGAUGAUGUUCAUGAUAUCCCUUCACCCCCAAAGACAAUGAAUUGGAGCAUGAAUUCUGAUUACUGUGCAUGUGGGAUGGAGUUAGCUGCGACGAGAAUACAGGGGACCUAACCGGACUGGAUUUAAGCUGCAGUCAUCUGGUGCAUUGGAAUGAAAUUAUAGAACUUCUUCAGAGCCUGAUGCUCUCGAGGAUGCAGUAAUGAACAAGCCUAAUGAUGAUCAUGAGUCAUAACUCCGUCCUCGAGAGCCUGAUGCUCUCGAGGAUGCACUAAUGAACAAGCCUAAUGAUGAUCAUGAGUCAUAACUCCGUCCUUGAAUAAAGUGUCAUGAAACAUAUUUUGUAUUACAUUUUGUAUUAUUGGAAACUUGAUUUGAAACCAAAAUAGUUUGGUGGAAUCAUUGCCAGGGUAUUGGGUCUGAAGAUCGAGGAUGGAGAAUAAAUUGAUUUUGUUCAAAUAUUUAACACAAGCCCAUCAUCAUUAUCCAACACAAGCCCGGUCCAGUAUAGAGUUCUGGCAACUCCAUUGUUGAACACUUCUGUUGAAGUUGGCCUGUCUGGCAGACAAGAGGCCCUGUUUUAGAGGUGAUAUAUGCGCACAGGUAAAAAAUGUAUAUUUCUUCCAAUAGAUUACAUCUCUUUUCUUCAAAAUUUAUUGUAGUUUCAAAAAGUAGCAUUUGAGAACUCAUUCUAUUCCCCUUUUAAAUACUUGGUCUUGGUCAAUACAAACACGAUUAAGACCGGUGUCAAUAUCCCUCAUAAUUUUUCCACUCCUUUGAAUGGCAUUCUACAAUCCACAUAUCAGACUCAUAAAUAAUUAGUUGAAAUCAUUACCAUAGUCCAUAGCGAAAAGACUUUCACCAUUGAACCAUUGCAUAGAUAAUUGAAGAAAGAAACUUCAACAUAUUUGCAUAUCUUUAUCUAUCUUUUUUUCUAGUCAUCAACAGGCACAAGCUGUUGAUUUUUAUAUGUUCUUAAUUGGUAUAAGCAUUUAAGGUGAGUGUUGAUAUUUCUCACUAAUCUUCUUCUGCUCUAAGUGACAUAUUAUUACAAUCCACAAAUUAGUAGACAGACUAAUAUGGUUAGUUGAGACCAUCAAUCUGGAGAACAGACUAAUACAUGUGUAGUAAUCUGAUCAUCAUUUAUUUGAUUACAAUAGAAAUUCGGCUUUGUUUAGUUCCAUCCUCGGGCUCUUCAUUUCUAAACAUAUUUGCUGAUACUUUUUAUUGUACAAUUUAGAAUAUUCCAUAAAAUUUUAUAUUCGGUGCUAGAUGAAUUUAUGUCUUGUUUUCAUUCCAUUCAUGAACUAAUGAAAAUUUUAAAAUUGGGUCAUAUUAGGCAGUGAUGCCACCUUUCUGGACCUGCAUUUCAUGACCACAAACUCCUAUUGUGCCAAAAAAUUCCAGCUGUUUCGUGAGAUUUUUCUACGUGCUCUUUUGUUCGGACUUGUUUGCUGAAUCCCACAAUAGACAAUAUUGAUGUUAACAACUCUUGCGUCAGUUACUAGACUCGUUGUUAGUAGCCCAUUCUUUACGGCAGACGUGGAAUUUACUUGAAGAAAUGAAGGUGUAAGAACAGGGGCGGAUCCAGCCUUCGCAUCUCACCCGGGCUGAAAGCCUGAAACACUUAUAACCUUGAAGGUAUACAGUGGAGGUGAAGAGGGGAAAAAAAUAUAUAUGGUACUGACAGUGACAUGGAAAUAUGGAUAUUAUUCUUUUAACCUGCUGCAGGGACUAUCAGCUGGUAAAUUCAUGUCAAAUCAAUUUUUUUGACNGCCGAGACGAGUCGGCGAGACGGCCGAGACGAGUCGUCGACGUGCGAGACGAGUUGGCGCGAGACGGGCGAAGCGAGACAUCUCCGAGACGAGUCAUGCGUGCGUGCCGAUACGUACGAGCCGAGACGAGGCGUCCACGUUUUCUCAAACCCAGGCUCGUGAUCGCCUCGUCUAUUUNACUAUAACUAAUAAUUCAUGUCAAAAUCAAGAUUAUAAAAAUUAAUAAUAUGACUACAAAAAUAAAAUAUAAACGUAAGGUAAUAACAUAUGGUAAACCUGAAUAUAUUUUAGUAACAAUUGUUUUGACAUAGUUAGAUUAAGGGAUUAAAUUAUUAUAUAAAAUAAUAAAAGUAGCUAUAUAUUAAAAAAAUAAAGCUAUAUUUAUAUAAUUAGUUUAAACACGUCAAAAGGUCAAAAAGCAAGAUUAAACCGCUUAGCUUAUAUAAACACCAUGACCGACUGUUUGACCUAAACUAAACAAAUUUAUAUUUAAAAUACAAAAUUACAUGAAUAAAACCGAAAUAGGGUUACAAUUCAUAAAAGUUAACAGCAACUCUGGUUAAUUAAUAAAGUUCCAGACCCAAAACUGAGAAAAGUGUCGGGCUUUUUAAAAUUUUAGACCGGGCUAAAGAUCAGUAAACUUUCGUCGAGGCUGGUAAAAUUUUUUGUAUCAUAAAACUCACCCGGGCUUUAGCCCACCGGAGCCCAUACAUAGAGAAAGUUGAGAACAUUUUGUUGAUUAUUCCCUUCCCUAGAAACUGCACUCCGCCAUCAAAGUACCUUUCAAAGACUCCAGCAUCAUUUCUUGAUUAUCAAAGUCUUCGUCUUUGUCAUCUCCUGCUCUGAAAGUGUUUCUAUUGCAGACCACAUAUUAGUAGACAGACUACUAAAAUUCAUCUAAAAUGACCUCUCUGCGUGGGCUCUUUUGAACAAUCAGGGUUGGACAUGAUUCUACACGCAUCAGAGAAAAACUAUCAGCUGGCUAAANUCUUCAAAAUUUAUUGUAGUUUCAAAAAGUAGCAUUUGAGAACUCAUUCUAUUCCCCUUUUAAAUACUUGGUCUUGGUCAAUACAAACACGAUUAAGACCGGUGUCAAUAUCCCUCAUAAUUUUUCCACUCCUUUGAAUGGCAUUCUACAAUCCACAUAUCAGACUCAUAAAUAAUUAGUUGAAAUCAUUACCAUAGUCCAUAGCGAAAAGACUUUCACCAUUGAACCAUUGCAUAGAUAAUUGAAGAAAGAAACUUCAACAUAUUUGCAUAUCUUUAUCUAUCUUUUUUUCUAGUCAUCAACAGGCACAAGCUGUUGAUUUUUAUAUGUUCUUAAUUGGUAUAAGCAUUUAAGGUGAGUGUUGAUAUUUCUCACUAAUCUUCUUCUGCUCUAAGUGACAUAUUAUUACAAUCCACAAAUUAGUAGACAGACUAAUAUGGUUAGUUGAGACCAUCAAUCUGGAGAACAGACUAAUACAUGUGUAGUAAUCUGAUCAUCAUUUAUUUGAUUACAAUAGAAAUUCGGCUUUGUUUAGUUCCAUCCUCGGGCUCUUCAUUUCUAAACAUAUUUGCUGAUACUUUUUAUUGUACAAUUUAGAAUAUUCCAUAAAAUUUUAUAUUCGGUGCUAGAUGAAUUUAUGUCUUGUUUUCAUUCCAUUCAUGAACUAAUGAAAAUUUUAAAAUUGGGUCAUAUUAGGCAGUGAUGCCACCUUUCUGGACCUGCAUUUCAUGACCACAAACUCCUAUUGUGCCAAAAAAUUCCAGCUGUUUCGUGAGAUUUUUCUACGUGCUCUUUUGUUCGGACUUGUUUGCUGAAUCCCACAAUAGACAAUAUUGAUGUUAACAACUCUUGCGUCAGUUACUAGACUCGUUGUUAGUAGCCCAUUCUUUACGGCAGACGUGGAAUUUACUUGAAGAAAUGAAGGUGUAAGAACAGGGGCGGAUCCAGCCUUCGCAUCUCACCCGGGCUGAAAGCCUGAAACACUUAUAACCUUGAAGGUAUACAGUGGAGGUGAAGAGGGGAAAAAAAUAUAUAUGGUACUGACAGUGACAUGGAAAUAUGGAUAUUAUUCUUUUAACCUGCUGCAGGGACUAUCAGCUGGUAAAUUCAUGUCAAAUCAAUUUUUUUGACUUUAUAUAUAUAUAUACUCAUUUACAUAUAAAAAAAAUAUAAAAUUUAAGAAUCUCAAAUAUUGGAGGUAGCCUGAAUAACAUUUGUUUGUCACUAAUACAAUAAAAAUUAAUUUUGUAUGAUCAGCUACAUAGACUAAAUCAUUUUAUUUUAUUUAUUUUAAACUAUAACUAAUAAUUCAUGUCAAAAUCAAGAUUAUAAAAAUUAAUAAUAUGACUACAAAAAUAAAAUAUAAACGUAAGGUAAUAACAUAUGGUAAACCUGAAUAUAUUUUAGUAACAAUUGUUUUGACAUAGUUAGAUUAAGGGAUUAAAUUAUUAUAUAAAAUAAUAAAAGUAGCUAUAUAUUAAAAAAAUAAAGCUAUAUUUAUAUAAUUAGUUUAAACACGUCAAAAGGUCAAAAAGCAAGAUUAAACCGCUUAGCUUAUAUAAACACCAUGACCGACUGUUUGACCUAAACUAAACAAAUUUAUAUUUAAAAUACAAAAUUACAUGAAUAAAACCGAAAUAGGGUUACAAUUCAUAAAAGUUAACAGCAACUCUGGUUAAUUAAUAAAGUUCCAGACCCAAAACUGAGAAAAGUGUCGGGCUUUUUAAAAUUUUAGACCGGGCUAAAGAUCAGUAAACUUUCGUCGAGGCUGGUAAAAUUUUUUGUAUCAUAAAACUCACCCGGGCUUUAGCCCACCGGAGCCCAUACAUAGAGAAAGUUGAGAACAUUUUGUUGAUUAUUCCCUUCCCUAGAAACUGCACUCCGCCAUCAAAGUACCUUUCAAAGACUCCAGCAUCAUUUCUUGAUUAUCAAAGUCUUCGUCUUUGUCAUCUCCUGCUCUGAAAGUGUUUCUAUUGCAGACCACAUAUUAGUAGACAGACUACUAAAAUUCAUCUAAAAUGACCUCUCUGCGUGGGCUCUUUUGAACAAUCAGGGUUGGACAUGAUUCUACACGCAUCAGAGAAAAACUAUCAGCUGGCUAAAGACCUCUCUGCAUCAACUCUAUUAAGAAAAGAAACUAUGGCUCAUACAGUUUAAGUUGAUAUCAAAUCGUAAAUGAGAAUACUUGCAGUUUUAAAUUACUGCACGCUAUUUUUUUUAACGAAAAUAUGUGCAGUUUUAACAUAGUCUAAUUAUUUUCUUGAUGACGGCUAUGCAAAUUGUGAUAGUUGAAUUUUUUUUAUGGUCUUUGACAAGCAUCAAGGAAAUUGUGAUAGUUGAAUUACCCUGAUUGUCAAAAACUACCUCGUAAUCAGAACGGGUUUUUUUUUGAGUUUGUUAAGGAUUCUCUCCAGGCAAAAGUUUCUCUUAUGCAGUUGAAGGUGAAAAUUAAGUCGUUGAAGAGGAAAUAUAAGUCUCUCAAAGAUUAUGAUGUUGUGUUUGACAAACCCAUGGAAGAGGAAUUGUUUCGCCUUUCCGAUAAGGUUUGGAGCCAAGGGAUUGAUAAUCAGGGUAAUGCUGCUAGCAAGGACAAGGAUAUAAGUAUCGAGAUCAAAGAGGAUGGAGUGAUUGAGGACUGUAGGAAGGAUAAGGAUACGAGCAUUGGGAUAAAUGAGGAUGGAGUGAAUGAGGCCGGUAGGAAGGAAAAGGAUACGAGAAUCGGGAUAAAUGGGGAUGGAGUGAAUGAGGACGGUAGGAAGGACAACGAUAUGAGCAUCGGGAUAAAUGGGGAUAUGGUAGAAGCCUCCAGGCUAAUGUGUCGAAGGGGAGGACAUGGAUGCUAUGGAAAUUUAGUUAGGAGGAAAUAUAAAUCAUGCUAACAGGAGCAGAUGAUGAACUUGAUUGCAAUGAAGAACUGAAGUUCCACAACGAGAUGAAGUCGACGAAGGAAGGUAGGAAGGACAAGGAUACGAUCAUCAGUCUUGUAUUUAGCUUGAUCGAAAAUAACUGUUCUCUUCAAAUUCUUUCCCUNUCUCUACUCUGUAGCUUACACAUCAUUGAUUCAUAUUAUUUUCCCUUAGGAACUUGAGAGACAUUUGGCAUCUAAAGAAGCUUCUCUCCCGCAAGAACCAUCACCAGAUGAUGAUAAUGCCGUUAACCUGCUUGUGCGGAUGCCGGAUGGCGGCCGGCAAGGCCGCAGAUUCCUCAAGUCCCACAAGCUUCAGGUAUUUAUUCCGUGACAAUAUUUUUCCAGUUAUUGGUUAAAAGUUGUAUAAUUGGUUGUUACUUGAUUUGCAGCAUCUUUUUGACUUCAUCGAUGUUGGUCGGUUGGUCAGACCUGGUACUUACAGACUGGUAAUCCUUCAUGUGCUUUUUUACCUUUCACACUUAAUUCUUGUGGGGGCACACUUAUAUUUUUACAAAGUUUUAAAUGACGAAUAAAUUCCAAAUAAUUUUUAUGGGGGACAGUCCCCCUUGCUAGAUCCCCUCCUGGUGUCCAAACUUUUUUUACAUUUCAUAAUUGAUUGUCUGGACCGGCAAAGAGCAAUGAAUAUUCAUUUUAGUCACAUAGGAGUGUCGGGGUUUGUAUUGUUGUUAUGCUUGAUAGUAUAUAGAGAGCUUAUUGACUAGUUGACUCAACAUCGUUUCUUUUUCCUUUCCCCCAUCUUCUCUGGUGAUUAAUGUUUGCGUGAUCCCACUAGUCCUUCCGCAAAAAAAAAAAGAAGUUAUAUUGUAUUUUUAAAAUGAAUUGCAUUUCAAACUAUUUGUUUGAUAAGUAGGGUACUCGUGUAAUUUAAUUGUAAUAUCGAUACCUUUUUUUGUAACACCAAAGAAAAAUUAGAAUCUUUAUAGUGUCAGGACUCUUGAUACUUGGUAGAUGCUUGAGAAGAAGGCUGUAUUUGAAGAUAUGGAGAAUGUGGUAACCAUAUGACUAAGGUCAACUAACUUUUGCUUGCUAAAGUGGAACUCUGUCAAAAAUUUAUCUGUAUCUAUCUCUUUUUUGUAGUCAUCAGUAGAUUUACUCUUCCAUAUGUAUCAGGGUCAAGUUGUUGAAAUAUAUCAGUCCUUAAUAGGUGUUAGCACAAUUUAGAUGAGCAAAAUAUUUAAGGAACGUAUGUACUUCAACUUGGCAUGCAAAACGAGUUAUACAAAUGGUAGAUUAGCUAGUUGGUAAUUUAAUGAGAAUCCUUUCCAUUGGACUUGAUUCAUUGAUAGAGAAGCAAAGCACAAUGUUACUUCCUGAUACAUAAUGUAUUUAUGCCUCGUAUAGAUAUAUUAUGAUUGUUAGAAUUAAACAUGUUUUAUUUUGCACAGGCAAGGCCGUAUCCAAGACGGGCUUUUGGUGUUGGUGAGAGCUCAACAACUUUUGAUGAACUUGGCCUGUCUGGCAGACAGGAGGCCUUGUUUCUGGAGUUAAUAUAGCAGAUAUAGUUAUCGUAAAAUUGUAAUAGGAUCUCGAAGAGUUUACCCAGAUGGACCAACUUUGUUUGUUAGUUGUAAAAGUUGUUUAGAGAUGGAUAUUUUGUCAAAGUUUGUAUCUAUUGGGUAUUUGGUCUUUUAGUCAGACUGUGGCUCAUACAGUUUGAAGUUGAUAUCAAAUCUUAGAUGAGAAUGUUUGCAGUUUGAAAUUACUGAACAUUGUUUCUUGAAUUCGAUAUCGAAUUUUAAACGAGAAUAUGUCCAGUUCCACUACAAGAGAAAGCGAUUCUACCAAUGGAAUUUGCUAAGGGAAAUUAGUCCGUUGGUAGUUCCCAACGGAUUUGUAAUGAUUUGACUAGUCAAUGUUCUGCCAACCAAGUCGCAACGAAAUACCCACGUUUAUUUACCAACGAAACGUUCCGUUAAGAAAUAUAACCACAUAAUGGAAUAGUAACAAAAGGCCAAGGAAUGAGCAACAGACUAGUAACGAAAAUAUCUGUUAUUACGUUCAUUGAUAUUCCGUUGAUAAAUACUAACAAUUCCGUUAGUAAUUGAUUAUUAGUUUUAUAACAUGGACAAUUGAUAUACACUACAUGAGCAGUCUCUUAUUUGACAUUUGUGUCAUGCUAAAGCCCAAUGGGCUUUAGUCGAUUAAAUUGAUUUGGGUUGUAGAAAACGGCCAAUAAUAUAAUGGACUUUGAUAUGUAUCGUAAAUAUUAAGUAAUUUUCUUGGAUUUAUGUAUAUAACAUAAUUGUUAAUUGGCUCAUCCUUAACUAGAAAUUUUAUAUUACAUUCUUAACUAGAAAUUUUAUAUUUAAAAAAAAUUAAUCUUUUAUGUGGUAUGUGGAUUUUGUAGUCAAAUGCGGUCAAUUUACUUAGCCUUUGAUCGGAUACCUACCCAAAACAUAAAAAUAUUUUUUAUUUUCGAUGAUCCAGCUAUACGGAUAUUAUUGUAAUGUGAUAAUAUUGAUUAAAUUUUUUUUUAAAAAAGUAGCAUUUUAUUUGGUAUGUGAAUUUUGUAGUCAAAUGCAAUUAAAUUACUUAGUCUCUAAUGGAAUACUUGCCCGAAACAUAAAACUAUUUUCUUAAAACACAAUUUGGACGAUCCAACCAUACAGAUGUUAUUAUAACGUGUUAAUAUUGGUUAAAAUAAUUUUUAAGAAUAUAUGUCUUUUAUUUGGUGUGUGGAUCUUGCAGUCAAAUGCGGUCAAAUUACUUAGCCUUCAAUCGAAUACUUACCCAAAACAUGAAACUGUUUUUUUAAAAAUCAUUUCGGACGAUCCAACCGUACGGAUAUUAUUGUAAUGUGAUAAUAUUGAUUAAAUUUGUUUUUGAAAAAUUUUAGCUUUUGAUUUGGUGCGUGGAUUUUGUAGUCAAAUGCGGUCAAACUACUUGGCCUUUAAUGAAAUACUUACACGAAACAUGAAAUUAUUUUUUUUUAAAACCAUUUUGGAUGAUCCAACCGUGCGGAUGUUAUUAUAACGUGUUAUAUUGAUUAAAAUAUUAUUUAAAAAAUAGCCUUUUAUUUGGUGUGUGGAUUUUGUAGUCAAAUGCUCAAAUUACUUAGCCUUUAAUCGAAUACUUACCUUAAACAUGAAACUAUUUUUAAAAAAAUUAUUUUGGAUGAUUCAAACUGUAGGGAUGUUAUUUUAACAUCUUAAUAUUGAUUAAAAUUAUUUUAAAACAAUUUAGUUUUUUUUUAUGUGUGAAUAUUUUAGUCAAGUACGAUAAAUUAUUUAUUUAGCCUUCAAUGAAAAAUUAAAAAUCCCGCACAGCCAAAAGUUUUCCCUCGUUUUGUGAAUCUUCCCCAGCCAUUUCCCCCCAACCCCAACCCCGAAAUUCACAAAACUCUCCCCCCAAAUUAGCUCGGCCUCUCCCAAAUCUCUAUCUCUCUUUGUAUAUCUUUAGGUGUGUUUUGUAGAGGCGGCCACCUCCAAAGCUUCAAAAUAAUCAAACUUAUCACCGCCGCUGUUCGAGAAUGAAUUUCUUUUAGGAGAUUCGUCGAUUUAGUUAUCAAAUUAGUUACCAUUAGGGUUCUACUCCGAUUUUCAAUAGUAUGAUGUUGGGGUUCGAUUGGUCGAUUGUCAUGUUUUAUAAGUUAUGUGGGUUCGAUUUUGAUGUUUUUACAAUUAGGUUUAUGUAUGUUUUUAUACGGGUUUCAUGUUCAUGUUUCGAUUUGUUGAUUUCCUAUUUUUCCUAUAUGUUAAUUUGUUAUUUGUGUGGAUUUUGGAUUUUGAUGUGUGUGUGUGUAAUGCCCUGUUUUUUUUUCAUUUUUUCAGGUUCGAACACUUCGAUUAGUAGCCGGAAAAACAACUGAUGCGGCAGUAGCGGCUAGCAAGGAGAUGAAUAACAAGAAAAGGCCGAUUUCGAGGUCAUCUCGUGCAAGUCUUCAGGUAUAGUUUUAUUCCUUUAUAUUUUUAAUCGACAUAAAUCUAACAAGUAAUUAUAGUUCUAACAAGUAAUUAUAGUUCUGAAUGGGGAGCUUAUUGUGAAAUUGAAUUGAGGGACAAGUUGUGUUAUUGGUUCCAGUAGAUAAAUUUAUGUUGACACUUGAUAUAUGCAUUUUUCCACUAUGAUGCUCCCUUUGGUUUGCUUAAGGUCAAGUACCGUUACUUAAUGCAUUUACAAGUAUUCCAGAACAAGUUUGUGCGCCAUAGUGCUACCUUAAUCUAUGAAUUUGAUGCCAGGCACUUUAGGUGUUAUCUCUUAUUGAUUUUUUAUUGGAGAGUUUGGGUGUUUUCUGGAAGAAGUAUAUAGUGAGAGCAGAGGUUUUCAUUUUCGUCAUGAUUUACUCUAAUGUUUCUAAUGUUCACCUGUUAACUGCUGUAGAUUUGGGCUUUAUCUAUUUCUACAUAAUUUAUUUUUGUCUUUGUUGCUGCUUCUUGAUAAUUUUCAAUAAUUGAAACUUUUGUUACAAAUAUAUGCUUGCUAGUCAAUUGUAUGUAGAAAUCUCUAACAAAACUUUAACUUUUACCUUUGAAAUUUAGUUACGAAUUUAAAGAAUUUGACUAGAACUUCAGUCGGUGGAUUCUUGACAUUUUUAUGUAAAUCAUAUAGUAUUCAGGAGUUACCCUGUAAAAUGCCCACAAAUCUUAAAUUAAUUAGAAGUCAAGUAAUAAGCUUAAGGCCUCUGAGACUGUGUCUGCAUUCUAGAUUUCAAUACAUUCUAUAUCAUAAUGUUGUUAAACUGCUUUUUAGCAAGUGCUUGAGUUUUUGGUAUCUACAUAUAAGAUUAUCUAAGAUAUCAAUUUAUUCAUGAGAGCAGGUUGAUGACAAGUACCGAUACAUGUGUGAAAAAAAAAAAGAUAACAUGGUCCAUGGAGUUGGUUCUUUGCAAUCUCUCUUUUAUAAGCCGGAGAUUCCUUGCAGUCCAUCCUUUGCUGAUGCAGAAAAUCAGAAGUUGCACGAAGAACUAAAUGUGAUGAAGGAUAAGAUGAAAGCAAUGGAGAAUCAAAUAGCUAUGGUUGUGUUAGUACUAGCUAGUUUUCAAGCCUCGUUAGUAAUUGAUGGCUCCUUUUAGAUAUAAUACUUGAACACUAUUGUAUCGGGUAACUCUUAUCUCAUUUUGAAGAUCGUAAAGAAACGUUUAUUAUGUAAAAAGAGUACACUUUUGUUAUUUCUUUAUUUGCAUUUUUAUAGACAUAAAAAUGAACAAUUCUAGAAAAUGAAAAAUUUGCACUGUAUUUGAGCAUGCAUACCAACAGAAUAUGUUUAUAUCUACUAACGGAAAUUUAACAACCGAAAGAGUCUUUUAGUUCUUUGUUGUUAAAUUUAACAAUUUUGACUAUACUUAACAUCAGAUUUUCCGUUGGGAAUAUGUUGCUAGAAUUGCCAACCGAAUAUUCUGUUGGCGGGAUGGUGUUUCUUUUGUUAUUUUGCAAAAUAGAGGUCUGUUACGAGAUUGUUACUACUCGGUUGCUAACUUAGCAACGGACACCUAAUUCGGUUGGCGAGGUGCUUCCCAACGACGUUUACUCUAACGGUCCAGUUCAGUGGGCAUUCCGUUAGGAAUCUCUUUUACCAACGGAUUUUCUUGAUUUGCCAACAUAAUAUUUCGUUGGGAAUAAUGAAAUUUCUUGUAGUGUUCUAACUUGAAAGUUAUGCAAAUUACGUUAAUAAUAUCAUCAAUUUUGAGUCUCUUGGUCUUCGGUCUUCUAUUGCAGCAUAUCAUACACUUCUCAAGUGAUUGAAAAUGAACUCUCUCCAAAAGGCAAGGGGUCUGUCGAAGUAGACCUGGAAUUGAUUUUACUUGAAGAAACAAUAAUAGUUCACCUUUUAAAGUUUUGGUCUUUGUCUUUUGUCUCUCAAAGUCUUGAUCUUUGUCGUUUACAUCUCAUACAAUUUGCUAUCGUAUUGAACACUUCACACAAUUUCAUACUAUCGUAUUGAACACUUCACACUUCACACAAUUCCAUAAUAUUGAAGAUUUUUGGCUUGAAAUAUUCUAGAGAAUAAGAUUGUACAUAAAAUCCAACAAUUUAUUUCCUUUUCUACAAUAUUACAACUCAUAUAUUUGUUGCCAAUGACUCAUUCAAUUCGCAUCAAUUACUAUCAUCUUCACUUUAUCAAAGAGUCUUGCUCUUUGUCCUCUACAUGCUUUUAUCACGGUCCCCAUGUUAGUGUGAUUUGAAAAUACUUGUGUUACAGUCCACAUAUUGAUAAAUAGACAAAUUAUAAUAUUUAGUUCAUUAAUGAAUAGAUAAGACGUUCAUGUGUAUGUAUUUGAAAAAUAAAAUAUUAUGAAGCUAAAUGAAUAAACACUUCUGAAGAGUAAAACGCGUUUCUGGUCCAUUUUGUAGCUUGAAGAAAUGAAGCAGAAGUCAAGAUUUUCUUGAAGAAACGAAAUUUUAUAAAAGUUAAAAACAAUUCGAUAAUUAUUGUCUUUUCAAAAAACGGGGCACGCAACACUCUUUUAUAUCAUCUUUCAAUUCUUAGAGUCUUCCUUCUGCUACUCCAAAAGUGGUUCUAUUAUAGGUCACAUAUUAAUAGAUCGAUACAAAUUUAUUAAAAAGAUCCUUAUUUUCAACGAUCAAUAUCAGUUUGACUAUAAAUUUAUCUGAAAUGACCCUUGUUAAUGGACUCUAGCUUAUAGGGUCAAACUUGGCUAUACAUGCCUCGGAGAAAAUUCAUCAGUUCGUAGAAGAGACCUUUCUGCAUCAACUCUAUGAAAAAUGCAGCACUUAUCAUCUAAAUAAAAAUUAGUAAGACUAUCUUAGAUUCUCUGAAGUGUUUAUAUUGCAGCCGCUUGUAUUGAAUACACACAUAAAUAACCACACAUAAUCAGGAAGGUUCGAAAUUUUUUGGUUUAACCAUAUCACCAACAUGAAGAAAAGACUUUCAAGCGUCAUAAUAGCUAAGAGCAUCUCCAACGGCAUUGGCUAUAAUCGUUGGCUAAAUUAGACAUGUAAGACAUUAUGUAAAAUUUGCUGAACCUGUAAGACAUUUUGCUUCAAUGGUAUUGGCUAUAUUAAUUAGUUGGCUAUAAUUUAAAAAUAGUAUGUUAUUAAUAUUUUAAAUUGUUAAAAUAGAAUAUAUCAGUUCAAUAUGGUAAUAAAUGAUUUACAAUCUUCCUACAGAUUUUCUUACAAACCUGUAGAGGUUCAACAAAUUUAGUCAUCCAUAGGAGGUUGGCUAAAUUUAUAGACAACAGCUGAGCAUGGUUGGAGGUGAGUUUUUGGAGCUGUUACCUAAAUUUUUUUAUUUUAAGUAUGUUAACUCACAUUUUAGCCAAGGGUUUUAGAUGGUUGGAGAUGCUUUGAGAGUUUUUUAUAUUCAGGAUAGCCCCGGUCUAGAUUAUUAUAAAAAACUUGUUUAUAUGGAGACAUAAUAAAGGUCCCAGAAUUUUUUACUCUUCAAGAUUUCCGUUUCUAGCCAAAUUUUUUGACCAUAAAUAAUAUAUUGGUUUUACCUGAAAACAAAAUUUAAAGAAAAUUCAAACUUUUUUAUUAGAGUACUUCUUUUCUUUUAUUAUUACUUCUUUUCUUUUAUUUUGAAAUUGCAAAACAGCUCAAAGUAGUUCUAAAAGAAUCAUUCUCCCCGCUAGGAUCAGUUACAAUUAAGAUUGACAAGAUGUUUUAGCUGCGAGUUCUUCAAAUUAUUGCUCGUAAGGUCCAUGACAGCUUAGAUAGUCACCAAAGCUUUGGCCUGUGGAUUAAGUUGAUGAAAUCUAGUGCAUUAAAAUCAAUGACAGCACUAUUUUAUGGGAUUGAUGCUCGCUCUUAAUAUUAUGCGUUUUUCUAAUGUGUGUGCCCAAAGACACACAAUAAACACUAAAUUUGAUAAAAAAAAUCGUAAUAUUAGUCAUUCCGCUCAUAAAUUUCAACCAGAGAAGAAAGAGCAUCGUGACUGUCAUUGUAUCCUUAAAAUUUGUUCGAUUAGGUUUUUUACAUAGUUUGCGCGUGGUCAUCAGGGUAGGCCUUCAUUAUAUUAAGCCAAUCUAGCUAGUAAUUCCAUAUUAAACAAGUUUAAAAUUUUCAAAUUUUGAUCUUAAUAAAUUUGUAAAAAUAGUAAACUUUUUCUUAUUUAUGAUAUUCACAAAUCUCUUACUUUUUUAUUACUGUAUUCAACUAAAUAUUUUUUAUAAACACUCAUAAAUGCAUCACAUCAGUUAUGAAAUUUAAAACAAAUAGUUUAUAGCCCGUGUAAGGCACGGGAGUUUUUUAAUUAUUUAUAAAUUUCUUAAAUAUAUUUUAAAUGGUGUGAAAAAAUUUAAUUUAUAAAUAAUAAAUUAAAAUUUUCAAUAAAAUAAAAUUCGAAAUUAUAAUUUGUUUGUAAGUUAGAACUGUGGUAAAUACAUCAUCAAGCCCAUUAAUGGUUUCAAAUAAACUAUUGUAAUGAAGCCAUUCUUUUUCUCGUAUGUACCGUGGCAAAGAAUUAAAUUCUGUUUAUCAAAUUUUAAUAUAUUUUGAGUGGAAUACGUUAUUGCCAACUCUUAUUAGAUUAUAUUUAUAAAUGUAUUUUAUAUUAGAAUUAUUAUAGUGUGAUUUAAAUAGUCCGCAAGGGUUAGUUUAGCUGGUUAAAAAGAGGACAUGUAUCCUCUUGGUCACAGGUUCGACUCUCAAAGGGUGGAUUAACGCUAUUGCGUGAUCCACUCCCAAAGGGUGGAUUAACCCUCCAAAGGGUAGCUGUUGCGGGUUCCUAGAUUACAAAAAAAUAAAAAAAUAUAUAAUGUGAUUUAAAUAUUUUUCAAAAAAUUUAUAUGGUUCCAAAUUAAAAUUGAUAAACAUAAUUUGUUGUGAUUUAAAUAUUUUUCAAAAAAUUUAUAUGGUUUCAAAUUAAAAUUGAUAAACAUAAUUUGUUUUUGAAUUAAGAAAAGGAAUCAUAAACAUGCAAUAAGAAGGUAGAAUCUAUUUUGGAUUAAGAAAAAGUUUUUGUAUUUGCUAAUCACAUAAAUCCGGCUUAUUAAUUUUAAAAUAUAUUAUAAAAAAAUUGUGACGGUGAGAUUUAUAUGAUUAAAAAAUUUUUGUAUUUGCUAAUCACAUAAAUCCGGCUUAUUAAUUUUAAAAUAUAUUAUAAAAAAAUUGUGACGGUGAGAUUUAUAUGAUUCUACGAAUAAAACUGGUAGAAAAUAUUUAUUUGGGAUUAAAAAAAUCAUAUACACGUGAAAGACAUAAUUUGUUUUGGAUUCAGAAAAAAAAUUAUAAAUAUGCAAGGUGAUAUCAGUUGCCUUGUAGAACAGAAGUUGAUUUUCGAAUCUAACGGUGCUUAUUUGUUCAAUAUAAGAUGCAACGGAUGAUAAACUUUUGGACCAGAGAACCAUGCGACCAAAUUAUCUCCCUUACGCUUAUUAUAUAUAAGUAUAUAAUAUGUCCAAUUUCUUUGAGAAAGAUGGUUGUAUAAUUUUUAGUUUAAAAUUUUAAUUAUUUUUAUUUUUAAUAUAAUUUACAACUAAAAAGUUUUAUUAUAUUUUGACUGCUUUGUAAUACAAUUAAAUAUAUCUUAAAUACACUUUUUCCUAUAUAUAUACGCUAACCUCGAGAGAUGUUGAAGAUCGUCCGAAACAAAAUUUGAAAGGGAAAAUGAAAAUGAGGAAUUGCAACCUCUGUUUUUUCACCAUCAGUAUGAUGCUCAUCUUCUUGAAGUUGCAGCACCACCUGGUGGCUUCUUCAUUAAGCCCCCACUUGCAGAAACUUGCCUUGUUUCACCUUAAGCAAAGCUUCACAAUCACUCCUCCUCGCUUCCCUUGCUCCUAUUAUUCCUACGAAGAUAAUGAGGGGUAUGAAAUUCCUUCUCGGCCAAAGACAAUGAGUUGGAGCAUGAGUACUGAUCACUGCACAUGGGAUGGAGUUAGCUGCGACAACAAGACAGGGGAUGUUAUCGGACUGGAUUUAAGUUGCAGUCAGCUGGAAGGAGCCAUUCUUCCUAACAGCACUCUCUUCCAACUCUCUCAUCUCCGCUUCCUCAAUCUUUCUCAUAACAACUUUUCCCUCUCCAGUCAGUUCCCUCCGGAAUUUGGUUUCUUUGCAAAAGGUCUGACGCAUCUCAACCUCUCUAAUAGUUAUUUAUCAGGGAGAGUUCCCUCUGGAAUCUCUCAUUUGUAUAAACUAGUCUCACUUGAUCUCAGUGACAAUGAUGGGACUAAACUUGAAGAAGAAGUAUUUAAAUCAAUGUUGCAGAAUUUAACGCAUCUCGGAGUGCUUAAUCUUAAUAACGUUAAUAUCUCCUCUAUUUUUCCCGUGAAUAUCUCUACUUCUUUAAGAGUUCUUCAAUUGUUGUAUACUGGUAUACACGGAGUAGUACCCCAAGAGGUUUUCCACCUUCCCAACUUGGAAUUACUUGAUUUAUUAUAUAAUUACGACCUGAGAGCUACAUUACCCAAAGUUAAGUGGGGAAGUAAAGCUACCCUCCAACACCUUCAUCUUUCAGAAAUCAACAUAGAUGGAGGUAUACCUGACUCAAUAGACUUUUUAAAGGACUCAUUAGUCAGUUUGUAUCUGGGCGGCUGUAAUUUGUCUGGGCCUAUACCAAGAUCCAUUGGGCACCUCGUUCAACUUACUCAGUUGGGCCUCCAUGAUAAUAAUCUCAAUGGCCCAAUUUUAACUUUUUUUACCAACCUUACAGACUUAAGAUAUAUCUACCUUGAAGGUAACAAUUUUACGGGUCCGUUUCCCUCUUUUCUUGCCCACUCCAGUAAACUAGUUGUGUUGCAUAUUGAGAGUAAUAGCUUUACUGGAUCCCUACCUCGUUCGUUGUUUCACCAUCCAUCCUUAGAGUACUUGUUUCUGGAACUUAAUGCAUUCACGGGUCCACUACAUGAAUUUGAUUCUUCUCGGUCCCGGCUGCAAUAUUUUUCUUGUUCCAGCAAUUUACUCAAUGGAUCCAUUCCACAUUCAUUUUCUCAACUUGUCAAUCGCACUGACCUAGAUUUUUCUUCAAACAAUUUCACCGGGGUUUUGGAUUUGGAAAUGUUUUCAGGUCUCGAAUUUCUAGAACGUCUUGAUCUUUCUGAUAACAGUCUUUCAGUGACAAGUACAAUCAGUGGCACCCUCCCUCCUACGCUUAUAUACUUGGGCUUGUCUUCUUGCAACAUGAAAGAGUUUCCUCGCUUUUGAACAGAUGCAAACAUCUUCCUGGAUUCUAUAGACCUGUCAAACAAUAAAAUUGACGGGGAAAUUCCACACUGGAUUGGGUCGCUGGGGGUGUCCUAUCUGAAUCUUUCUCACAACAAACUAAUAGGCGGUCUUGAGCAACUGCCUUGGGGUUAUAUUAAUUAUCUUGAUCUCCAAGACAAUAAGCUGAAUGGAUCGUUGCCCACCUUGAUGUGUAAUUCCAGCUCUCUUGAGAUUCUAAAUCUCUCUCACAACAAUUUGAGUGGUGUACUCCCCAUUUGUCAUACAAAUUUGACUCAGCUUUCGGUGUUGGAUCUGCGGAGGAAUAAAAUUCAAGGAAACAUUCCAGCAACCUUGUCAAAUUUCCAUAAUCUGGAAACCAUUAAUAUGAAUGGAAACCAAUUACAAGGAAGCAUUCCUUCUUCAUUUGCUGAAUUUGAUUCUUUAGCCGUUCUUGAUCUUGGAAAUAAUCAGAUAAAUGAUACAUUCCCCCGGUGUUUGGAAGCUCUUCCAAAUCUCCAAGUUCUUGUUCUCAAAUCUAACAAGUUUUGUGGUCUUAUAAACACGAGUUCUAAGAUUGUACACCCAUUUCCUAGCUUGAGAAUCAUUGAUCUGUCGGACAAUGAGUUUUCAGGUCCACUGCCAGCAAAAUACUUCAGAAACUUCAAGGCUAUAAUGAAUAGUGAUGUAAGCAAAAUAGAUCGUAGUUAUAUGAAUCAUAGUUUCUAUUACAGUGAUUCCACGGCUCUGGUGAUUAAAGGAGUAGUCAUAGAGUUGGUAAAGAUAUUAACUAUUUUUACAACCAUGGAUGUGUCAAGGAACCAGUUUGAAGGGGAGAUUGUAGAAUCAAUUGGAAAUCUGGUGUCACUUAGAUAUCUCAAUUUAUCACAUAAUCAUCUCAGAGGCCACAUACCACGGUCGAUUGGAAAAUUGACUGUGCUGGAGUCACUAGACCUCUCAUCCAAUGAACUUGAAGGAGAAAUUCCUCCGCAACUCACUGGUUUAUAUUCACUUGCAGUUCUAAAUCUUUCUUGCAACCAACUUAGAGGCCGUAUACCAGAAGGGUCACAAUUCAAUACGUUUGAAAUCUACAGCUACGCCGGGAACUUUGAAUUGUGUGGAAAACCCUUGUCAAAAAAGUGUGAAAAUUAUGUGAGGGUACACAAAGAAGACGAAGAAGAUGAGGAUGAAUAUUACUUUUUCAGUGGUUUUACAUGGGAAGCGGUGGUGAUUGGAUAUGGGUUUGGAGUGGUGCCUGCAUUUAUCGCCGGGUACUUGAUGUUGCUGGCACGGAAACCAAAAUGGUUUGCUGGAAUCAUUGGCAGGGAAUUGGGCCUCAAGAUCAGGAGGAUGGAGAUUAGAAUGCGAUAACUACAGGUUUGGUGUAAUCUGUAUCCCAUUCCCAGGUCUUGAAAAUUCUGUAAUAAUAUAGUAAUAUCUGCUCUCAUAUAAUUCUAUAUUUGCAGAUUCAGAUGGGACAAGCAGGAUUCAGAUGCAUUGCAUUGGAUUCAGAUGGGACAAGCAGGAUACAAGUUAUGUAGUAUUGUUUUGUUCCAGCUCUUAUCUGAUCUGCAAUCAAGUUAAUGAACCACUACCUCAGUUGUUAAGCAUCUUUCAGCAUUUUAAUUUUACAACUCACAAUAAAAGAUUACAUGUGUAUUAAUCUGAUCAUCAUUGGUUUAGAUCAAUAUAGAAGUUCGGCUUUGUUUAUUUCUAUCCCGGGCUCCUCAUUUUUAGAACAUAUUUGUUGAUACUUUUUAUGGAACGGUUAAGAAUAUUCCAUAGAUUUUUAUAUUCAGUGCUAGAUGAUUUUAUGUCCUGUUUUCAUUCCAAUUUCCGUUCAUGAACUAAUUAAAAAUCUGAAAGUGGGUCAUAUCUGGCAGUGAUGCCCACCUUUCUGGACCUGAAUUUCAUGACCACACAAACUCCAAUUCUGCCCAAAAAUUGCAGCUGUUUCGUAAAAUAUUUUUACGUGCUCUUUUGUUUGGACUUGUUUGCUGGACCAUGCAUAUGUUUUGAUACAAACAUCUUCGUGUAUGUUAACACUCUUGUGUCAGUUUCUGGACUCAUUGUUAGUAGCCCAUUCUUUACGGCAGACAUUGAAUUGGAUUUACUUGAAGAAAUGAAGGUUUAAGAAAGUUGAGAACAAUUUGUUGAUAAUUUCCUUCCCUAGAAACUGCACUCCAGCAUCAAAGUACCUUUCAAAGACUCCAGACAUCAUCUCUUGAUUAUCGAAGACUUGGUCUUGCAUAUACUGAUAUACAGUGAAUAUAGAUUUCUUUCAUUUCCUUGAAAUUGCAUUUUUGGAAGUAGCUCUCCAGACUCAUUCCCGUCACUUCUUAAAGUCUUAUUCCUCCUCAAUACUACAUACACGUAAUAUCACACCACUUUGCUCAUGCUCAGAUGGGUUUUUCUUACAAACCACAUAUGUUCACUUCUCAGAGUCUUAGUCCUCGUCAAUGUAUAGAGAUAAUAUCUCACCAUUUGCUAGUGCUACAAAUGGGCUUCUCCUACAACCACACAUAAUCGGAGAAAAGUCUGUCAAGUGUCAAGUGGACUUGAAAGACCCUUGUGCAUGGAUUAUUGUAUGUCAUGAAUGCCUUCUGAUAUCCCUGAAAGUGCAAGCAAGUUAUAAAAGUAGCUGGGCAGACUCUUUCUCAUCAAUACAUUCACAUUUAAAGCGGGCGUUGAUAUGCCUCCCUAAUUUUCUAAUGCCCUAGACGGAAUUCUAUUACAAUCCACAUAUGAUGGGUAGCGAUCAUCAAUUCAAAGAAGAGACUAUCAGCAGCUUGCAGGAAAUGUCCCCUCUGCAUGGAUUAUCGAAGAAAGGAACUUAUACCUAUAAAGAUGUAGAAAACCAAUGGUAAGCAUAACUGCAUAUAAGAUACAAAACUAAAUUUAAUACAAGACUCGUUCUGAGCAUUGGAAAAUAUAAUUCAUCCUGGUCUUCGUCUUCUACUUCUCCAAAUAUGCUUUUAUUGCAGCCAAUGUAUUAGUGAAAAGAAUUAAAUUUAAAUUAAUUGUAGACCGCAAAUAUAAGAUUAGGAGAGUUUCUACAACCCACAAAUUAGUAGACAGACUAAUAUGGUUAGUUGAGACCAUCAAUCUGGAGAAACUGUUUCUACAAUGACCCAUAUGUAUGAAUUAUUGAAGAAAGAAACUUAUACCUACAAUGUAAAGGAAAUGGUCACGAGUAUAUUGCAUUUUUAAUCCAAAUUGUAUAUGAUUCUCUCUGUGCUACUGAUAGUUAAUAAUAAAUCUACAACGGAACUUGCAGUUAAUCAAGGUAUUUAAGUCUACCUUUCUACAUUGUUGAAUAGUUUGAAUUAAAUAAUUGUAAUAAAUUUUUUGCUGGAUGCUGUGUGAGUUUACCAGAGCUUAUCACGGUGAGAAGUUCACUAAAGCUCUUGGAAUUAGUAAAUAAAAACUCAGGGCAGUGAAUUAGAAGUCUGAGUACAAGGCAAUGAGCAGGAAACAACAUAGGGAGUUUACAACUAGAAGUAUCUAUUCUCCCCCAGUCUUUUUGUGAACAUCAAGAGGCCAUUCAUAUUGCUCACAAACCAGUUAAAAGUGGCAGGACUACACAUAAUGAAUCACACAGUCACUUUAUGUGAGAAAAGAAAAUUGUCAGGACUGCAAUGCAUUUCUAGCCCAUUUUGUACAGCAGCUCAAACGUUUAAAAAACUUCAUUAAUUAUUUUCUUUUAUUGAAACCACACUCAUCCAUCAAAGUAGCUCUCAAAGUCUAAUUUCCAUCACCUUCUGAUUCUCAAAGUCUUCUUCUUCGUCUUAUAUUGCACGCCACAUAUUAGUAGACAUACUACAUCAACUCUGUAGAAAGAAACAAUCUAUAGUAGUUGAUGUACAAUGUUAUUAUGUAAAUGUAUAAUAUCAAAAUUAGGAAUAGAAAUCACGCCCUAAUAAUUAACCCUCUGCAGGGGUUAUUAAAGAAAGCAGCUUAUAACUUUAGUUGCUGAACAUUUGUGUGGGCCAAAUUCAAUUUUACACAUCAUUACUAGAUUUACACAUGGUAUUAGACAUCAGUACUAGUAUAAGAUGUUAAUCAAGUUUUGGAAUUUCUUUUAUUUCAGAAAACAAGUUUUUAACUCUCUUUUUUUUUUGUGGUAUUAAUUAUUUAUAUCACGCAUUUGAGCUUUAAAAUUAGCUCUAAAUAAAAGUUGAUUUUCGCUCAAAGAAACAAUGAUGUAUAAGAAGAUUUUCAGAACUGAAUUAUUUCUUUCCAUUUUUACAGUUCCAUUCAAGAACCGAAAGCAGCUCACAAAGACUCACUACAUCAUCUUUCAAUUCUCAUAGUGUUGGUCUUUGUCUUCUGCUGCUCAAAAAUUCUAUUACAGCCCACAUAUCAGUAUCAUAUACCUAAUUAUAAAUAGUAUUUAACACUUAACACCAUUAAAGAUUUGUCUCAGAGACUUACUUCCAUCACCUUAUGGUUCUCAAACUCUUCGUCUUCUAAUGCUCCAAAAGUUCUAUUAGUGCAGGCCACAUAUUGGUAAACAGACUACAAUUCAUCCAAAAUGACCCUCUUAUUGGACACUUUGAACACCUCUGUCUGUAUAUGCAUUGGAGAAGAAUUAUCAGCUCGUUAAAAUAACCUCUUCGCAUCAACUCUAUGGAAAGAAGCAAUUCAUACCUAAAGUACAAUGUUUGGAUAAAAUUAGGGAUAGCAACCGCACGCUAAUUUUUUAGUUGAAGCAGGCUACCUUAGUGUAAUUAACUGAACAUCCCCGUAAUUUCUUGACAGGCCACAAUUAAGGAAGUUUACAGAAUUACAUUCCAGAAGUAGCUCCCUGAGACAGAUUCGCAUCAUCUUUCAAUCUUCAAAGUUCUUUAUACUUAUAUUAUAUUUCAUGUUUUAUUGUAAUGAACAUAGCAGUUUCCUGUUCAGUAAUAUUCCAGGCUCAGGUUCUUCAUUCCAAGUCUCUGUUACAUGUUUGCUACUAAAACGUAUUAAACAGUUAUUAGUUUAUGACUGUAUUCCAUCUUGAAAGGAGAUCUCAAAGACUCAUUCCCAUAAUCUUCAGAAUCUCAAGUCUUGAUGAACUUGGCCUUCAUCAUAUUUGUACUCUUGUAAUUCCAUAUUAAUCAAGUUUAAAUAUUAAAAUUUUUAAUUUUAGUAAAUUUGUAAAAAUAGUAAAAUUUGUCUUAUUUAUAAUAUUUAUAAAUCUCUUACUUUCCUGUUACUGUAUUCAACUUAAUAAUUUUUACAAACACUGUGCAUCACAUAAGUUAUGUAAAUUUAGAACAAAUUAUGUCCAAUUUAUUUAAGAGAGAUUGUUAUAUUGUUUUUACUUUAAAAUUAAUGGUAUCUUUUAUUUUUAAUAUAAUUUACAGCUAAAAAUAUUUGAUAUAUUUUCACACUGCUUCUUAUUUUUGUAAUAUGACUAAACAUAUCUUAAAUACACUUUUUUCCUAUAUAUAUGCUAGCCUCUCGAGAUGUUGAAUAGAUCAUCCCAAACAAAAAAAUUUAAGGGAAAUAGAAAAUGAGGAAUUCCAUCCUCUGUUUUUCCACCAUCAGUUUGUUGCUCAUCUUCCUGCAGUUGCAGCACAACCUAGUGGCUUCUUCAUUAAGUCCCCACUUGCAGAAACUUGCCUUGUUCCACUUUAACCAAACCUUAACAAUCAGUACUACUAGCUGGGAUUGCGAGUACUAUUCCUACGAUGGAUAUUACGAAAUUCCUUCACGGGCAAAGACAAAGAAUUGGAGCAUGAGUUCCGAUCACUGCACAUGGGAGGGAGUUAGCUGCGACGACAAGACAGGGGACGUUAUCGGACUGGAUUUAAGUUGCAGUCAGCUGGAAGGAGCCAUUCUUUCUAACAGCACCCUCUUCCAGCUCUCUCAACUCCGCUUCCUCAAUCUUUCUCACAACGGCUUUUACAAUCAGUUCCCUCAGGAAUUUGGUUUCUUUGCAAAAGGUUUGACGCAUCUCAAUCUCUCUCGUACUGGAUUAUCAGGGAGAGUUCCCUCUGGAAUCUCUCAUUUGUAUAAACUGGUCUCACUUGAUCUCGGUCGCAACUAUAGGGCUUGGGCUAAACUUGAAGAAGAAGUGUUUAAAUCACUGUUGCAGAAUUUAACUCAUCUUGAAGUGCUUAAUCUUGAAGGGGUUAGCAUCUCCUCUGUUUUGCCCCUGAAUAUCUCUACUUCUUUAAGAUUUCUUGCUCUUGCGGGAACUGAAAUACACGGAGUAGUACCUCAAGAGGUUUUCCACCUUCCCAACUUGGAAUUUCUUCGUUUAUCAUAUAAUGACCACCUGAGAGUAACAUUACCCAAAGUUAAGUGGGGAAGUAGUGCUACUCUCCAACACCUUCAACUUUCAGGCGUCAACAUAGAUGGAGGUAUGCCUGACUCAAUAGGCUUUUUGGAGUCAUUAGUCAGUUUACAUCUGAUCCAGUGUAAUUUGUCUGGGCCGAUACCAAAAUUCAUUGGGCAACUCGUUCAACUUACUCACUUGGGCCUGGCUGCUAAUAAUCUCAGUGGCCCAAUUCUAACUUUUUUAACACGCCUUGCAGACUUCAGAUCUAUCUUCCCUUGAGCAUAACAAUUUUACUGGUCCGUUUCCCUCUUUUCUUGCCCACUCCAGUAAACUAGUUGAGUUGUAUCUUCAUAAUAAUAGCUUUACUGGAUCCCUACCUCGUUCGUUGUUUCACCAUCCAUCCUUAGAGAUCUUGAAUCUGGCAUAUAAUGCAUUCACGGGUCCACUACAUGAAUUUCAUUCUUCU
rnacentral:lncRNA from 1 species